rnacentral:lncRNA from 1 species
AGAUUCAUCCUGGUUUGAUUGGAACGACGAAGAAACUGUGCUAUUCCCAAACUGGGAAACUGGAAUCACCUGCUUUGAAAGUGGGAUAACUUCUUCAUCCCAACUCCUAUGAGAUUUAUUCAACUUCCUGGUGAUUCUACACCACCUUAUGUAUCCAAAUCAAGCUUCUCACAAAGUGAUUCAUCCUGGUUUGAUUGGAACGACGAAGAAGCUGUGCUAUUCCCAAACUAGGAACCUGGAAUCACCUGAUUUGAAAGUGGGAUAACUUCUUCUUGCCAACUCCUAUGAGAUUUAUUCAACUUCCUGGUGAUUCUCCACCACUUUAUGUAUCCAAAUAAAGCUUCUCACAAAGUGAGUCAUCCUGGUUUGAUUGGAACGACGAAGAAGCUGUCCAAUUCCCAAACUGGGAAACUGGAAUCACGUGAUUUGAAAGUGCGAUAACUUCUUCAUCUCAACUCCUAUGAGAUUUAUUCAACUUCCUGGUCAUUCUCCACCACUUUAUGUAUCCAAACCAAGCUUCUCACAAAGUGAUUCAUCCUGGUUUGAUUGGAACGACGAAGAAGCUGUGCAAUUCCCAAACUGGGAAACUGGAAUCACCUGAUUUGAAAGUGGGAUAACUUCUUCAUCCCAACUCCUAUGAGAUUUAUUCAACUUCCUGGUCAUUCUCCACCACUUUAUGUAUCCAAAUCAAGCUUCUCACAAAGAGAUUCAUCCUGGUUUGAUUGGAACGACGAUGAAGCUAUCCUAUUCCCAAACUGGGAAACUGGAAUCACCUGAUUUGAAAGUGGGAUAACUUCUUCUUGCCAACUCCUAUGAGAUUUAUUCAACUUCCUGGUGAUUUUCCACCACUUUAUGUAUCCAUAUCAAGCUUCUCACAAAGUGAUUCAUCCUGGUUUUAUUGGAACGACGAUGAAGCUGUGCUAUUCCCAAACUUGGAAACUGGAAUCACCUGAUUUGUAUUAGAUUUGGUGAUUUAAAGAGUGAUUAAGUCUAAUCUGAGAAUUAAAGAGAUUGGAGAUUAAGAACAAGAGAGAGACUUAAGAGAGAGAGACUCAAAACUCCAUUAAUUAAUACUGAUGAGGGUUUACAAGUAUAUAAAGAGAGAGCAACAAGGAAUUUCGAAAUGUAUAAGCAUGUGUAGUCAAAGGACAGGCUGGAACUCCUUUUGAAUCACUUGGCUGUGCUUUCUCACAUGCUUGCACUAGUAGAAAAGCAUCCUAUCCUUUCCAGCAUCAUACAGGCUGUCAAAGUGCUCCCUUAUCCUUCCUUAUCCUCUUUGGUCGAGUUUACUCUCUUCCCUUCACUAAGUUACCUUCUCAUGCCAUCAGAUAACUUCCCAAGUUGUUACUGUGGUUAAACUAAAGUUACCACAGUAAAACUCAAAAGUUACUGUCUACUCCAACUCUCUUCCUCUCUCAAUAUAUCAACUCUUUAUUCUCUCAUCUCAACACUCCCCCUCAAGCUUGACCAUGUGGAACAAGUCAAGCUUGGUAGGACCAUGAGAUCUCCCUCAUUAAAACCUCAUUAAAGAAAACCCAUUGGGACAAAACCUUAAUGAGGAAAAAGAGUAGAGAUCACAUGAUCAGGAGAGUGUAUAGACUAGCCCUUAGGCGAGAGAUCAAUGAGUCCUAACCUGAUGUGUAUGGACUCCAUUGUCUUUUGCCUUGCUGCCUUUGUGAACACAUCUGCUAACUGAUCCUCACUCCGAGUAUAACAAGGUAGAAUCACCCCAAGAAUCAUCAUCUGCCUCACCUUGUGACAAUCAACCUCAAUGUGCUUUGUUCUCUCAUGGAACACAGAGUUAGAUGCAAUGUGGAUAGCUGCUUGAUUAUCACAAUGCAUUGUCAUUGGCGUUGCUUGAAUAAUCUCCAGAUGCUUCAAAAUCCCUUUUAUCCACACUAGCUCAUUUGUAAGCUUCAGCAUUGCUCUAUACUCGGCCUCAGCACUGGAACAAGACACUACCUUCUGCUUCUUACUCUUCCAAGUGACCAAGUUACCACCAAUGAAUGUACAAUAGCCUGUGGUUGAUCUUCUAUCUGCUCUAUCACCAGCCCAAUCCGCAUCACAGUAGCCUACAACCUCAGUACUCUUGUUACAUCCCAUCCAUACUCCAAGACCAGUAGUUCCAUUCAGAUACAUCAAGAUCCUUUCCACCAUCCGCCAGUGGUGCUCCUUAGGAACUUGCAUGUGUUGACUGACUUGAUUCACCGCAAAGCAUACAUCAGGUCUAGUAAUGGUAAGAUAAAUCAACUUCCCCACUAGCUUCCUAUACAGCUUAGGAUCAUGGAAUGGCUUGCUAUCCUCAAUCUCCCCCUCACGUGGAACCUUGUACCCAUCCUCCAUUGGCAUCUUGGCUGUCUUUCCUCCAUAGGCAUCUGCUCCCUUCAAUAGAUCAAUCACAUACUUCCUUUGAGACAUGAACAAUCCUUCCUUUGAUCUGCAUAUCUCAAUCCCAAGAAAAUACUUCAUUUCCCCCAAGUCUUUAAUCUCAAAGCUUGCCUUGAGAUACUCCUUUGUAGCCUUGAUGCCUUCCUUAUCACUGCCUGUGAUGAUGAUAUCAUCCACAUACACAAGCAAUACCACAAUACCAGAUGAGGUGGUUAGGGUAAAGAGAGUGUGAUCCAAUUCUGACUUUCUGAACCCUCUCCCAUUCAGUGUAGUACUCAACUUGUUGUACCACGCCCUUGGAGACUGCUUGAGACCAUAGAUAGCUUUCCUCAACCUCAACACAUUACCCUUCUUUACUAGAUGUUCAAGACCUGGUGGUGGAUGCAUGUAUACUUCAUCUUCCAACUCUCCUUGAAGGAAUGCAUUCUUCACAUCCAUUUGCCACAAAUCCCACUCAAGAUUCACAGCUAAAGAUAAUACAAUCCUGAUAGUAUGAAGUUUAGCCACAGGAGCAAAGGUCUCAACAUAGUCCUCACCAUAUGUCUGAGUAAAUCCUCUUGCCACCAACCUAGACUUGCGCCUCUCUAUUCUUCCAUCAGGAUGAAACUUGAUUGUGAACACCCAUUUACUAGUCACUGCCUUCUUCCCUUUAGGCAGCUCACUCUCAUACCAUGUUUCAUUCUUAAUCAUGGCUCCGGACUCAUCAGCAACUGAAUCUCUCCACUCCUUUAAAGCCAUAGCUUCUUCAUAUGUCCUUGGAAUAUAGCUCUCAUCCAAGCUUACUGUGAAGGCUAUAUGCUCGUCUGGAAACUCUGCAAAGGAACACAUAGCUUGAGAAGGAUGCUCCACAGCCUGGGCAUUGUAGUACACUCUCGUGUUUACCCAGUUGGAAGCAUCUCUCUUCACCCUUGUGCUCCUCCUCAGCUCCUGAACUUGUUCUUCUUGUGGCUCUUGCCCAUCUUCACUUGAUUGAGCACCACUCUCAUUUGACCCAUCAGGAUCCACUUCCCAAUCUCCACUAGACUGACUACCACUCUCAUCUGAGCCAGUAGACUCUCUUUGCCCAUCUCCACUAGACUGAGCACCACUCUCUACUUCCUGUGUCACCUCUUGAUUAUGCUGGCCUGAAUCUUCUUGAUUUUGCACUUGCUCAUGAGAUUCAGUUCCAUUCCCCCUCUCAUGAUCAAGAGGGGUUGUUCUUUCAGCUUCACUAGUAGGAUUGGAAGACUCUCUUCUUCCAGAUUCCUGAUCCUGGGAUAACCCUAUCCCUAGCUUCUCCAACAGCACCCUCAGUGUUGUUGCUCUAUCAGAUGGAGCUUGAGACAAAUCCUUCAGAUUUUCCCACUCCUUUUCUUCAUAAUACCCUUUGGAUUCAAUAAACUUCACUUCUCUAGAUACCAUCACUCUCCUUGCUUCAGGAUCAUAGACUUGUAUCCCUUUUGAGUGAUAGAGUAUCCAAUAAACAUUGCCUUAGUACUCUUUGCCUCCAGCUUGUUUCUCUGUUCUCCUGGAGUCAUGACAUAGCAUACACACCCAAAUACUCGUAGGUGAUCAAUAAAAGGCUUGCUCUUAUUCAGCACCUCAAAUGGAGACAGAUUCUUCAGUAUCUUGGUUGGGACCCGGUUGAUGAGGUAGCAAGCAGUCUGAACAGCAUCUCCCCAAAAUCUUUUUGGGACAUUUGCAUGAAACAUCAUCGACCUAGCAACCUCCAUCAAGUGCCUAUUCUUCCUCUCAGCUACACCAUUCUGCUGUGGUGUGUAAGGACAACUGGUCUGAUGCACAAUCCCAUGCUUGGCUAGAUGACUCUUGAAGGCAUUGCUGAUGUAUUCACCUCCGUUGUCUGAUCUCAGUACCUUCACAGUAGCAUUGUAUUGAUUAGAUACAUAUGCUUGGAAGUUCAUAAACGCUUCUAGCACCUUAUCUUUAGAUGGAAGCAAUGUGAGCCAUGUAUACUUAGACUUCUCAUCAAUGAAUGUCACAAAGUAUUUAUGGCUGUCUCUAGACAUGCAUGGAGCGGUCCACACAUCCGAGUGAACUAGAUCAAAGCAAUGCUCAUAAGUAGUCUUAGAUGUUGGGAAAACAGUCCUACAAUGCUUUCCUAAUAUGCAUGCUUCACAAUCCAAGUGAUUGAAUGACAUAUUAGGGAUUAUCAAUUCAAUGGCACGAGCAUGAGGAUGUCCUAAUCUAGCAUGCCAAGUAAUAUUAUCAAUCUUCUCAGCAGUACUACUCAAGCAAAUAGAAUCAAAGGGAUUAGAGGUCUUAGCCAAGUCGAGGUGGUAUAGCUGAUUUUUGCUGUCUCCUCUGCCAAUGACUCUCCCAGUCUUCAAAUCUUGAAACUCAACUUCAUCAGGUCUGAAUACUACUUGACAAUCAAGAUCAAUGGUAGCUUUCUUCACAGAUAAUAGAUUUGAAGUGAACUGAGGCAUGUAGAAGGCAGCCGUGUCCUUCUCAAACAGUUUGAGCUUUCCCACUCCUUCUAUUGGGAUCAUAGCACCAUUAGCUAUCCUAACACUCCCUGUUGCAGCCUUGAUCUCACUUAUAAGCCUCCUAUCACUGAUCAUAUGAUGACUUGCUCCAGAAUCAAUCACCAUGGGUUUAGAAGCUCCGGAUUGUAUAGCAUGCUUCUUGCUUGCUGCUAAGGCUUGUACAUGUUCCAUGAACACUCUCCAUUCCUUCCUGGUGAUGCGAUCAUCAGCUCCACUCCCUUUCUCCUGCUCUCUUAACACCCCACUGUCUUCUACUGAUUCCCCCAUGUAGGCUGAGUAAGAACACUCUCCCACAACUCUCUUUCUACCCUUUCCUAUGUUGAUAGAAGCUUUGGAUAGCAUUCUGCACCUUCUCUUCUUCCGGAAGCCCUCACUCCUACUCCCGGUUAGCCUCCAUGAGCCCUCACUCCUACUCAUGGUUAGCUUCUGGAAGCUCUCACUCCUACUCCCAGUUGGCUUCCAUGAGCUCUCACUCCUACUCAUGGUUAGCCUCUCAUCAUCUCUCAUUAUCUCAUACGCCCUUCUUAUAAGCCCACAAAUCUCUUCCAUUUCCGGAAGCUGUUCCCCUCUUAGAACCAUCUCUACCAGCCACCCAUAUGAUGACUCCAUGCUCGCCAAGAGCUUCAAGACCGUCUCUUGCUCUUGUGUAGUAUCCCCAUCCACAUGGGAUCUCAACCCUUGUAGUUCAACCCACAAAUGUUGUAGCUUCCUCACAUGGUUAUUGAACUCUUCUCUUCCUGGUUUACCUCCACUAAUCACCUUCUUGACUUCAUACACUCUCCUAAGACUGAUCUUGUUCUCAUAAACAUCUUCAAUCUUCUCAAGCAGUGUACUUUCUUCAAGACUAAAGCAAUUUCCACUUGUUUCUCUUGCUGUCUGAUCUUUCUCAGCAGCUUUACCCUUCAAAGACUCUUCCUUCUCAUGGUUUCUCCAAACUCCACACCUCUUCAGAGUCGUUUUCAUUUGUGAGAACCACCCCCACUCAUUCCCUCUCUCUUCCAUCUCUUCACGCCUUGCUGAACCACAAGCUAGACCCAUCUUCUGACCUUGUCAAACACCUAAAGGGACUCCCUUGAAGCUGACUCUCCAAAAGAAACACCAACAGACACAAACUUGACUUUUAAAGGAUCUAGCUCUUGAAAAAUCUCAAGAACUCUCAAGAACACUCAAGAACACUCAAGAACAUUUAGAAAAACGAAAUCACUCUCUCCUUUUAAAGUAACCUGGCUCUGAUACCAUAUUAGAUUUGGUGAUUUAAAGAGUGAUUAAGUCUAAUCUGAGAAUUAAAGAGAUUGGAGAUUAAGAACAAGAGAGAGACUUAAGAGAGAGAGACUCAAAACUCCAUUAAUUAAUACUGAUGAGGGUUUACAAGUAUAUAAAGAGAGAGCAACAAGGAAUUUCGAAAUGUAUAAGCAUGUGUAGUCAAAGGACAGGCUGGAACUUCUUUUGAAUCACUUGGCUGUGCUUUCUCACAUGCUUGCACUAGUAGAAAAGCAUCCUCUCCUUUCCAGCAUCAUACAGGCUGUCAAAGUGCUCCCUUAUCCUUCCUUAUCCUCUUUGGUCGAGUUUACUCUCUUCCCUUCACUAAGUUACCUUCUCAUGCCAUCAGAUAACUUCCCAAGUUGUUACUGUGGUUAAACUAAAGUUACCACAGUAAAACUCAAAAGUUACUGUCUACUCCAACUCUCUUCCUCUCUCAAUAUAUCAACUCUUUAUUCUCUCAUCUCAACACUCCCCCUCAAGCUUGACCAUGUGGAACAAGUCAAGCUUGGUAGGACCAUGAGAUCUCCCUCAUUAAAACCUCAUUAAAGAAAACCCAUUGGGACAAAACCUUAAUGAGGAAAAAGAGUAGAGAUCACAUGAUCAGGAGAGUGUAUAGACUAGCCCUUAGGCGAGAGAUCAAUGAGUCCUAACCUGAUGUGUAUGGACUCCAUUGUCUUUUGCCUUGCUGCCUUUGUGAACACAUCUGCUAACUGAUCCUCACUCCGAGUAUAACAAGGUAGAAUCACCCCAAGAAUCAUCAUCUGCCUCACCUUGUGACAAUCAACCUCAAUGUGCUUUGUUCUCUCAUGGAACACAGAGUUAGAUGCAAUGUGGAUAGCUGCUUGAUUAUCACAAUGCAUUGUCAUUGGCGUUGCUUGAAUAAUCUCCAGAUGCUUCAAAAUCCCUUUUAUCCACACUAGCUCAUUUGUAAGCUUCAGCAGUGCUCUAUACUCGGCCUCAGCACUGGAACAAGACACUACCUUCUGCUUCUUACUCUUCCAAGUGACCAAGUUACCACCAAUGAAUGUACAAUAGCCUGUGGUUGAUCUUCUAUCUGCUCUAUCACCAGCCCAAUCCGCAUCACAGUAGCCUACAACCUCAGUACUCUUGUUACAUCCCAUCCAUACUCCAAGGCCAGUAGUUCCAUUCAGAUACAUCAAGAUCCUUUCCACCAUCCGCCAGUGGUGCUCCUUAGGAACUUGCAUGUGUUGACUUACUUGAUUCACCGCAAAGCAUACAUCAGGUCUAGUAAUGGUAAGAUAAAUCAACUUCCCCACUAGCUUCCUAUACAGCUUAGGAUCAUGGAAUGGCUUGCUAUCCUCAAUCUCCCCCUCACGUGGAACCUUGUACCCAUCCUCCAUUGGCAUCUUGGCUGUCUUUCCUCCAUAGGCAUCUGCUCCCUUCAAUAGAUCAAUCACAUACUUCCUUUGAGACAUGAACAAUCCUUCCUUUGAUCUGCAUAUCUCAAUCCCAAGAAAAUAUUUCAUUUCCCCCAAGUCUUUAAUCUCAAAGCUUGCCUUGAGAUACUCCUUUGUAGCCUUGAUGCCUUCCUUAUCACUGCCUGUGAUGAUGAUAUCAUCCACAUACACAAGCAAUACCACAAUACCAGAUGAGGUGGUUAGGGUAAAGAGAGUGUGAUCCAAUUCUGACUUUCUGAACCCUCUCCCAUUCAGUGUAGUACUCAACUUGUUGUACCACGCCCUUGGAGACUGCUUGAGACCAUAGAUAGCUUUCCUCAACCUCAACACAUUCCCCUUCUUUACUAGAUGUUCAAGACCUGGUGGUGGAUGCAUGUAUACUUCAUCUUCCAACUCUCCUUGAAGGAAUGCAUUCUUCACAUCCAUUUGCCACAAAUCCCACUCAAGAUUCACAGCUAAAGAUAAUACAAUCCUGAUAGUAUGAAGUUUAGCCACAGGAGCAAAGGUCUCAACAUAGUCCUCACCAUAUGUCUGAGUAAAUCCUCUUGCCACCAACCUAGACUUGCGCCUCUCUAUUCUUCCAUCAGGAUGAAACUUGAUUGUGAACACCCAUUUACUAGUCACUGCCUUCUUCCCUUUAGGCAGCUCACUCUCAUACCAUGUUUCAUUCUUAAUCAUGGCUCCGGACUCAUCAGCAACUGAAUCUCUCCACUCCUUUAAAGCCAUAGCUUCUUCAUAUGUCCUUGGAAUAUAGCUCUCAUCCAAGCUUACUGUGAAGGCUAUAUGCUCGUCUGGAAACUCUGCAAAGGAACACAUAGCUUGAGAAGGAUGCUCCACAGCCUGGGCAUUGUAGUACACUCUCGUGUUUACCCAGUUGGAAGCAUCUCUCUUCACCCUUGUGCUCCUCCUCAGCUCCUGAACUUGUUCUUCUUGUGGCUCUUGCCCAUCUUCACUUGAUUGAGCACCACUCUCAUUUGACCCAUCAGGAUCCACUUCCCAAUCUCCACUAGACUGAGUACCACUCUCAUCUGAGCCAGUAGACUCUCUUUGCCCAUCUCCACUAGACUGAGCACCACUCUCUACUUCCUGUGUCACCUCUUGAUUAUGCUGGCCUGAAUCUUCUUGAUUUUGCACUUGCUCAUGAGAUUCAGUUCCAUUCCCCCUCUCAUGAUCAAGAGGGGUUGUUCUUUCAGCUUCACUAGUAGGAUUGGAAGACUCUCUUCUUCCAGAUUCCUGAUCCUGGGAUAACCCUAUCCCUAGCUUCUCCAACAGCACCCUCAGUGUUGUUGCUCUAUCAGAUGGAGCUUGAGACAAAUCCUUCAGAUUUUCCCACUCCUUUUCUUCAUAAUACCCUUUGGAUUCAAUAAACUUCACUUCUCUAGAUACCAUCACUCUCCUUGCUUCAGGAUCAUAGCACUUGUAUCCCUUUUGAGUGAUAGAGUAUCCAAUAAACAUUGCCUUAGUACUCUUUGCCUCCAGCUUGUUUCUCUGUUCUCCUGGAGUCAUGACAUAGCAUACACACCCAAAUACUCGUAGGUGAUCAAUAAAAGGCUUGCUCUUAUUCAGCACCUCAAAUGGAGACAGAUUCUUCAGUAUCUUGGUUGGGACCCGGUUGAUGAGGUAGCAAGCAGUCUGAACAGCAUCUCCCCAAAAUCUUUUUGGGACAUUUGCAUGAAACAUCAUCGACCUAGCAACCUCCAUCAAGUGCCUAUUCUUCCUCUCAGCUACACCAUUCUGCUGUGGUGUGUAAGGACAACUGGUCUGAUGCACAAUCCCAUGCUUGGCUAGAUGACUCUUGAAGGCAUUGCUGAUGUAUUCACCUCCGUUGUCUGAUCUCAGUACCUUCACAGUAGCAUUGUAUUGAUUAGAUACAUAUGCUUGGAAGUUCAUAAACGCUUCUAGCACCUUAUCUUUAGAUGGAAGCAAUGUGAGCCAUGUAUACUUAGACUUCUCAUCAAUGAAUGUCACAAAGUAUUUAUGGCUGUCUCUAGACAUGCAUGGAGCGGUCCACACAUCCGAGUGAACUAGAUCAAAGCAAUGCUCAUAAGUAGUGUUAGAUGUUGGGAAAACAGUCCUACAAUGCUUUCCUAAUAUGCAUGCUUCACAAUCCAAGUGAUUGAAUGGCAUAUUAGGGAUUAUCAAUUCAAUGGCACGAGCAUGAGGAUGUCCUAAUCUAGCAUGCCAAGUAAUACUAUCAAUCUUCUCAGCAGUACUACUCAAGCAAAUAGAAUCAAAGGGAUUAGAGGUCUUAGCCAAGUCGAGGUGGUAUAGCUGAUUCUUGCUGUCUCCUCUGCCAAUGACUCUCCCAGUCUUCAAAUCUUGAAACUCAACUUCAUCAGGUCUGAAUACUACUUGACAAUCAAGAUCAAUGGUAGCUUUCUUCACAGAUAAUAGAUUUGAAGUGAACUGAGGGAUGUAGAAGGCAGCCGUGUCCUUCUCAAACAGUUUGAGCUUUCCCACUCCUUCUAUUGGGAUCAUAGCACCAUUAGCUAUCCUAACACUCCCUGUUGCAGCCUUGAUCUCACUUAUAAGCCUCCUAUCACUGAUCAUAUGAUGACUUGCUCCAGAAUCAAUCACCAUGGGUUUAGAAGCUCCGGAUUGUAUAGCAUGCUUCUUGCUUGCUGCUAAGGCUUGUACAUGUUCCAUGAACACUCUCCAUUCCUUCCUGGUGAUGCGAUCAUCAGCUCCACUCCCUUUCUCCUGCUCUCUUAACACCCCACUGUCUUCUACUGAUUCCCCCAUGUAGGCUGAGUAAGAACACUCUCCCACAACUCUCUUUCUACCCUUUCCUAUGUUGAUAGAAGCUUUGGAUAGCAUUCUGCACCUUCUCUUCUUCCGGAAGCCCUCACUCCUACUCCCGGUUAGCCUCCAUGAGCCCUCACUCCUACUCAUGGUUAGCUUCUGGAAGCUCUCACUCCUACUCCCAUUUGGCUUCCAUGAGCUCUCACUCCUACUCAUGGUUAGCCUCUCAUCAUCUCUCAUUAUCUCAUACGCCCUUCUUAUAAGCCCACAAAUCUCUUCCAUUUCCGGAAGCUGUUCCCCUCUUAGAACCAUCUCUACCAGCCACCCAUAUGAUGACUCCAUGCUCGCCAAGAGCUUCAAGACCGUCUCUUGCUCUUGUGUAGUAUCCCCAUCCACAUGGGAUCUCAACCCUUGUAGUUCAACCCACAAAUGUUGUAGCUUCCUCACAUGGUUAUUGAACUCUUCUCUUCCUGGUUUACCUCCACUAAUCACCUUCUUGACUUCAUACACUCUCCUAAGACUGAUCUUGUUCUCAUAAACAUCUUCAAUCUUCUCAAGCAGUGUACUUUCUUCAAGACUAAAGCAAUUUCCACUUGUUUCUCUUGCUGUCUGAUCUUUCUCAGCAGCUUUACCCUUCAAAGACUCUUCCUUCUCAUGGUUUCUCCAAACUCCACACCUUUUCAGAGUCGUUUUCAUUUGUGAGAACCACCCCCACUCAUUCCCUCUCUCUUCCAUCUCUUCACGCCUUGCUGAACCACAAGCUAGACCCAUCUUCUGACCUUGUCAAACACCUAAAGGGACUCCCUUGAAGCUGACUCUCCAAAAGAAACACCAACAGACACAAACUUGACUUUUAAAGGAUCUAGCUCUUGAAAAAUCUCAAGAACUCUCAAGAACACUCAAGAACACUCAAGAACAUUUAGAAAAACGAAAUCACUCUCUCCUUUUAAAGGAACCUGGCUCUGAUACCAUAUUAGAUUUGGUGAUUUAAAGAGUGAUUAAGUCUAAUCUGAGAAUUAAAGAGAUUGGAGAUUAAGAACAAGAGAGAGACUUAAGAGAGAGAGACUCAAAACUCCAUUAAUUAAUAAAGAUGAGGUUUACAACAUACUUAUAUGAGAGAGACAAUCAAAUUCGAAAUCAAUCAGAUAAGGUAGAGGUUCAGGGCAUGUGUAGUCAAAGAGAGCCAUCCAAAAGCAGCCAAUGGGAGUCUUCACAUGCUUGAUCCCUUUGGCAUCUUUUACUAGAUGCUGUCUACUUUACAGCCUGUCUCCAGCCUCUCUAGCUGUGAGGAAACCUUAUCCAGACUGUUCCUCCCUUAUCCAUACAGCUCUUGGUCGUGGCUUACUCUCCAAUGUGAGCCAAGGUAACUUUCCAAGCUUUACCUUAGUUACCACAGUAAAACCAAAGUUACUGUGGUAACUCCAAAGUUACUGUCUGUCUCAAAUCUCUUUCCUCUCUCAAUAUAUCAACUCUUUAUUCUCUCAUCUCAACACAUGUGAGCCACUAAAAUACCUCAGUAUCCUAUCAACCAUCUUCCAGUGAUGUACCUUUGGCGCCUGCAUAUGUUGGCUCACUUGAUUCACAGCAAAGCAUAUAUCAGGUCGGGUGAUAGUCAAGUAGAUCAGCUUACCCACCAUCCUCCUAUACAGCUUAGCAUCCUCAAACAACUGGUUCUCUUCAACCUCCCCCUCACGCAAGACCUUAUACCCUUCCUCAAGAGGUGUCUUAGCUAUCUUCCCUCCAAGCACAUCAGUCUCCUUCAGCAUAUCCAUAGUGUACUUCCUUUGAGACAUAAACAAACCCUCCUUAGAUCUGCAUAUCUCAAUCCCCAAAAAGUACUUCAUCUCUCCCAAGUCUUUAAUAUCAAACACAGACUUGAGAAACUCUUUGGUGGCCUGAAUCCCUGCCUUAUCACUUCCUGUGAUAAUCAAAUCAUCCACAUACACUAGAAUCACAAUGCUCCCUGAAGGUCCUGUCAAGGUGAAGAGAGUGUGAUCUAGUUCAGACUUCCUAAAGCCUCUCCCAUUGAGUGUUGUACUCAGCUUCCUGUACCAAGCUCUAGGUGACUGUUUCAACCCAUAUAUUGCUUUCUUCAAUCUCAAAACAUUCCCUGGCUUUACUAGAUGCUCAAGACCAGGAGGUGGAUGCAUGUAUACUUCAUCUUCAAGUUCACCUUGCAAGAAAGCAUUCUUCACAUCCAUUUGCCACAAAUCCCACUCCAAGUUUGUUGCAAUAGAUAACACAAUUCGAAUUGUGUGAAGCUUGGCCACUGGUGCAAAAGUAUCAAUGUAAUCUUCCCCAUAAGUCUGUGUAAAUCCUCUUGCAACCAGCCUAGUCUUGCGCCUAUCUAUCUCCCCAUUUGCAAGAUACUUGAUGGUGAAGAUCCAUCUGCUUGAAACUGCCUUCUUCCCUUUAGGUAACUCACUCUCAUACCAAGUAUCAUUCCUGAUCAUUGCAUCCCUUUCAUCUCCUACUGAAUCUCUCCAAACCUUGUGCUUCAUAGCUUCUUCAUAAGAUCUUGGUAUCUCAUUCUCAUCCAAGUUACACAUAAACACCAUGUGCUCUUCUGGAAACUCAGCAAAGGAACACACGGCUUGAGAGGGAUGCUCCACAGCCUGGGCAUUGUAGUACACUCUCGUGUUUACCCAGUUGGAAGGAUCCCUCCUUAUCCUUGUGCUCCUUCGCAAGGUCUCAACCUGUUCUUCAGCCUGAACAUUCUCUUGUGCUUCCUCUCUUAAACCAGUAGGUUCUCCCUGCUCAUUUCCACCUGACUGAGCUUCACUCUCUACUUCCUGUGUCUCCUCCUGAUCAUGCUGACCUGAAUCCUCUUGGUUAUGCUCCUGCUCCCCUGAUUCAGAUCCAUUCCCCCUCUCAUGAUCAAGAGGGGUUGUUCCUCCAGCUUCUCCAGCUUGAUUAGAAGGUCCUGUUCUUCCUAGUUCCUGAUCUUGGGAUAAUCCUAUCCCUAGCCUCUCCAACAACACUCUCAAUGUUGUUGCCUUCUCUGAUGGAGCUCGGGACAGAUCCUCUAGGUCUUCCCAUUUCUUCUCCUCAUAAUACCCUUUAGACUCAACAAACUUCACUUCUCUAGAUACCAUAACCCUCCUAGUUAUUGGAUCAUAACAUUUGUAGCCUUUCUGAGUGAUUGAGUACCCAAUGAACAUAGCUUUAGUACUCUUUGCUUCUAGCUUGUUCCUUCUUUCUCCGGGAAUCAUCACAUAACAUAAGCACCCAAAUACUCUCAAGUGAUCAAUGUGUGGCUUGGUCUUGUUCAAUACUUCAAAGGGAGACAGUUUCUUCAAGACACGGGUUGGCACUCUAUUGAUGAGAUAGCAAGCAGUCUGAACAGCAUUAUGAGAUUAAGAGAUCCUUAGAGUAAUCAGAAUAAAGAGAGUGUUUAAGAAGUGAUUAAGAGAAGUUUGUGAAAGAUUAAGAGACUAGAUAGAGCCGUUUAGAGUCUAAGAGAAAACCAUAGUGUCUAAGAGAUUAGAGAGACUCAAACUGCAUAAUCUUUAUUAGGGUUGAUGAGUUACAAUAUAUAGUGUGAGCAUACAAGGGUUUUCGAAAUCAAGAGAAGACUAAAUUUAGCAUGUGAGGUCAAUCAGGAGAGGAUAAGCUCAUUUGGACUAGCCAAUUAGCUUCUCCACAUGCGCGGAGUAUCUAGCAUCUUGGACCGAGAUGCUCUUGCCUUUCUAGCUGUUCCAGCCUGUCAAGGCGCGCUCUACCUUAUCCCUAAACGGUCUGAUGCAUCAAGGUAAGUUCCUUCCCUUCACCUAAGUUACCGCACAUAACUUCUUUACCCUUGUCAAGGUUUCACCCAUCUUCAUGUGUACGGUCAUGUACGGACUGUACGGACUUGUACGGACUUUACCCAAACCUUCCCAAGCUUCAACUCAUCUCCUUAGUCUCAACUCCUCACUUGCUUCACACUUAUACUCAGCUCAACUCAACACUCCCCCUCAAGCUUAGCUUUGUGAAAGCCUAAGCUUGGAUAGCUAUGAGAUCUUCCUCAUUAAAAACCUUACCAAGGAAAACCCAUUGGGAUAAAACCUUGAUAAGGGAAAAAGAGUAAAGACCUCACAGCCAAGGGGAUCAGCUCCUUCUCUUCCCAAGAUCAAUGAGGCCCAACCGUAUGUGAAUGGACUCCAUUGUCUUCUGUCUUGCAGCCUUGGUGAACACAUCCGCUAACUGAUCUUCACUUCUUGUGUAGCAUGGCAAGAUGACUCCUAAGAUGAUCAUCUGCCUCACCUUGUGGCAAUCAACUUCAAUGUGCUUGGUUCUCUCAUGGAACAUCGAGUUGGAGGCAAUGUGGAUAGCUGCUUGGUUGUCACAAUGCAUGGUCAUUGGCGUGGCUUGAUCAAUCUCCAAAUGCUUCAAGAUGCCUUUGAUCCAUACUAACUCGUUGGUGAGCUUCAGCAUAGCUCUAUACUCAGCUUCUGCACUUGAGCAAGACACCACCUUCUGCUUCUUACUCUUACAAGUCACCAAGUUGCCUCCAAUGAAUGUGCAAUAGCCUGUGGUUGAUCUCCUGUCUGCUCUAUCACCAGCCCAAUCCGCAUCACAAUAUCCCACCACUUCAGUGCUUCCAUUGCAGCCCAUCCAUACUCCUUGAUCAGGUGAGCCGUUGAGAUACAUCAAGAUCCUCUCUACCAUGCGCCAGUGAUGCUCCUUAGGUACUUGCAUGUGUUGACUUACCUGAUUCACAGCAAAGCAACCACCAUGUGCCAGUGAUGUUCCUUAGGCACUUGCAUGUGUUGACUCACCUGAUUCACAGCAAAGCAGAUGUCAGGUCUAGUUAUAGUAAGAUAAAUCAAUUUGCCAACUAGUUUUCUAUAGAGUUUAGGAUCCUGAUAAGGUUUGCUGUCUUCAAUCUCCCCCUCUCGUGGGACUUUGUAGCCAUCCUCCAUAGGCAUCCUUGCUGUCUUGCCUCCAUAAGCACCUGCACCUUUCAAAAGAUCAAGUGUAUACUUCCUUUGGGACAUGAAUAAACCUUCCUUGGAUCUACAUAUCUCAAUUCCAAGGAAGUAUUUCAUUUCUCCCAAGUCUUUAAUCUCAAACAUGGAUUUAAGAAACUCCUUGGUUGCUAUGAUACCUUCCUUAUCACUCCCUGUGAUAAUGAUAUCAUCAACAUACACAAGGAGUGCAAUCAUACCUGAGGGAGUCGUGAGUGUGAAGAGGGUGUGAUCUAGUUCAGACUUCUUGAAGCCUCGGCCAUUCAGAGUAGUGCUCAACUUGUUGUACCAAGCUCUUGGUGAUUGCUUCAGCCCAUAGAUAGCUUUCUUCAGUCUCAACACAUUCCCUCUCUUCACUAAGUGUUCAAGGCCUGGAGGUGGAUGCAUAUACACUUCAUCCUCAAGUUCACCUUGUAGAAACGCAUUCUUCACAUCCAUUUGCCAUAACCCCCAUCCAAGAUUCACAGCCAAGCUUAGUACAAUCCGGAUUGUGUGUAGUUUAGCUACUGGUGCAAAGGUUUCUAUGUAAUCUUCUCCAUAAGUUUGAGUGAAGCCUCUUGCAACUAGCCUUGACUUCUUCCUCUCAAUCUUCCCAUCCGCUUUGUACUUGAUUGUGAAUAUCCAUCUACUGGUCACAGCCUUCUUCCCUUUUGGUAACUCACUCUCAUACCAUGUAUCAUUCUUGAUCAUAGCUCCUGCCUCAGCUCCAACUGAUUCCUUCCAUUCUUUAUCCAUGAUUGCUUCUUCAUAGCUUCUAGGGAUGUAGUUCUCAUCCAAGUUAACCAUGAAGGCACAAUGCUCUUCUGGAUAUUGAGCAAAGGAGCAUACGGCUUGAGAAGGAUGCUCCACAGCUUGGGCAUUGUAGUACACUCUCGUGUUUACCCAGCUAGAAGGAUCCUUCCUUAUCCUUGUGCUCCUUCUUAGUGGCUGCACAACCGGUUCUUCUUCCUGUUGUUCUUCUACCACUUCAUCUUGAGAAGGUGUUUGCCUCACACCAUGAUCAUGACCAUGACCAUCAGAGCCUAUGCUCUCUUCUCCUUCAUUCUCUACUCCUCCUUCAUCCUGAUUAGCCUCUUGCAUAGGUUCCUCAUGCUCCUCUCCUCCCUCAUGAUCAAGGUGGGAUGGUGAACUAACUUCAGGAGGUGUAGUUGCGUGAUUCCUUGGAUCCUGGGAUGUACUGAUUCCAAGACCUUCAAGGAUGAUCCGCAAGGUGGUGGCUUUGUCUGAUGUUAAGUCCUUCAGGUCUUCUUGGUUCUUUUCUUCAUAGUAUCCUCUAUCUUCCAAGAACUUCACAUCUCUAGAUACAAGUACUCUCCUUGCUAUAGGAUCAUAGCAUUUGUAUCCUUUCUGUGUAGCUGAGUAUCCUAUGAACACAGCCUUAGUACUUCUUGCUUCUAGCUUGUUGAUCAUUUCUCCUGGUUUGAGCACAAAGCAUAGGCAUCCAAAGACUCGCAAGUAAUCAAGUGCUGGUUUGUACCUGUUCAGAACUUCAAAUGGAGCCUUCUCAUUCAGAACCUUGGUUGGAGUUCUGUUGAUCAGGUAACAAGCAGUGGCAACCGCAUCACUCCAAAAUCUCUUUGGAACAUUACUCUGAAACAUAAGAGACCUUGCCACUUCCAUGAGGUGCCUAUUCUUCCGCUCAGCCACUCCAUUUUGCUGUGGAGUAUACGGACAGCUUGUUUGAUGUAGGAUCCCAUGCUGUGAUAAGUGUUGCUUGAACGCAUGACUUGUGUACUCUCCUCCAUUAUCUGAUCUCAAAAUUUUAAUCUUAGCAUGAUAAUGGUUAGUUACAUAAGUUUGAAAGUUCCUAAAUGCAUCAAGUACCCUAUCUUUGGUCUGAAUUAAGGUUAACCAGGUGUAUUUGGAUUUUUCAUCAAUGAAUGUGACAAAGUACUUAUAACUAUCUCUAGAUAAGCAAGGAGCAGUCCACACAUCUGAAUGAAUUAGAUCAAAGCAAUUAUCAUAAACGGUAGUAGACUUUUGAAACACAGUUCUACAAUGCUUGCCUAAAAUACAAGCUUCACAAUCUUUGUUCUCAAACACAACACCUGGUACCAUUAAGUUCAAAGCUUUAACAUGAGGGUGUCCUACUCUAGCAUGCCACAAUGCAUUUUUAUUCAACAAAGAAGCAGAAGUAAACGAGCAACUAUAAUUGUUGAAAUGAAGAAGGGAAUGACCAGAAGAAGAAGCUGGUUCAUGAUCCAAGUUUGAUAUUGUAGAGGAAGUAAUCUGGAUACUUCAAAGAUGAGACUGGUUCAUACAGACUUGUGAACCAAGUUAUGGUUAGAGUGGAGAAGGAAGAAGCAUGGCUGAGUGUGAUCCAUUGAUCUUAUAAAUAAAGAAGACAAAGAGAAGAAGAGAUACUUGAAAAGAUUCAGGUCUGGAAAACCUUGCUACACAAGGCAGUCCGUACAGUCUUGGCUUCCAAGUUACCUAGAGUGACUUGGAUGGUAAGGCAGGUGAGGAACUCGUACAGCUUGAUCUUCUGAAGCAGAUUUGAAGUUAAAAUGGAGCAUUAGACCGUUGGAGAGAGCUGAGACAAGUUGGGAAUUAAAUAGAGUAAAAGUCACAUGUGCAUAAGAGGAUGAACCUGCUGUCACUUUCACCCAACCAGACUGUGCCCAUCUUUCUCCCCUGUCACUCUCUACUCCCUCUGGUCGAGAUUCACCUUGGCUGUACCUUCCUGGCUUCACCAGAAAACCCUACAAUAUUAUUUGUUUAGUAAAACCCUGUUUUAGUAUUUGUUUAAUAUGUGUGCUUGUCUAUUUAAGACAAUGUUGUAUCUGAUUGUAAACUAAGGAGAGUAAAACUCUUUCUUCACAUACUCUGGUUACUAAACUCUCAGAUUCUCCUAUUCUCUCUAUUCUCUUGUCUCUCACGACCUCCAUUACUCUCUUAUACUCUAGCAUACUCAGAAACUCUCCCAAACACUUUAUACUCUCUUCACUCUCUCAUUACUUUCAAUUGCUCAUCAAUCACUCUCUCUGGUUUCAUACUGAACCAGAAGCUUAUUCUCAUCAUAUUCCUUUUAUUUCAUCUCAAUUCUUUCAUGGUAUCAGAGCCACAAGCUCUUGAGAACCUAUAUUGCUUCCGCAAAUUAUCCCUGUCCAAAAUCUCUCUUUAAAAAUCUGUUCAAACCUGUUUGUUACAUCCUUUUAUCCUCUGGUCGAAAGGUUUUCCAGGAGGGAAAAGCCUCACCAGAACUCAAGAUAAAGGAGUAUCUCAGUCUCUGGAACUCAAGAAAGUCUUAGCUCAAUUCAGCAAGCUUCAUCAAAGUCCAGUCUUUCAAAUCCUGUCCCUUUCAAACCAGUAGGAACAUCCUAUUAUCCACUGGUCCAAAAAUCUUCAAGAUGAUGAAUAUUCAAGCAUGGGCGAGUUCAGUGAAGCUCAAAACUCCAAACUACUCUCUCUGGGUCAGAAUGAUGAAGAAAAACCAUAGAGGCAAAGGUGUUUGGAGCCAUACUUCAGAUGAAGCUCCAUGGAAAAUCUGCAAGGUCUUUGCUGUUGAGAUGAGGAAGUCAUUAUGGUAAGGAGAAGAGGAGUUGGGCAAGUAAUGGAAGAGUGUACGGCCUAUGUACGGAUAGGGCAUGUACGGAUAGAUCAUGUACGGAUAGGGCAUGACCGUACAGCUUAGGAAACAUGAAGGAAGAAGGAGUUGGAUGAGUGAAGCCUCUAGAGUACACGGAAGGUUUAAGACUGAUCAGACCGUUUAGAGAUAAGGGCGGGACGAGCCUUAUCCAUUCAGUCUUUGGACAGGCUGUAAAGGCAAAGCGAAAGCAUGUGAGCCUUACCGUCCGUUGAAUUCAAAAGAAGCGCUCCCUCCUUGACUUGACUUCACAUGCUUAUGACUAGUGCCAUUUCUCCUUACUUGUAAACCCUAAUGUAUCUCCUAUAAGUAUUGUAAUCCCAUCUCAUAAUAAGAUUAGACAGUUCUGAUUAUUCUUAGCCUCCAUGGCGUUUCUCUUAGUCUCUUGAUCUAAUCUCUUACUCUCUACACUCGUUUCGUCUCUAAUCUCUCUCAAAUCUAUUCUAAACACUCAGAUUACUCUUCAUUUCUCUAAAGUCAUAUGGUAUCAGAGCCAGGUUCGUGAGAAUCUGAGUUCUUGUUGAGGUUUGUAUCAAGACAAAGGAUAGAAGCUAGGAGCUGGGCGUUGAAGAUUCAAGCUUCAAGUCUUCUCCGGUUGUGUCUUUGGUCUUGUUGGUGUGAUUACUACUCUCAGUCCAAGAUUUAGCAAGCUGUUUACGUCUAGCUGCUUCAAGAUGGAUAGUGGGAUGAAGAUGAAGGUGGCGGUGGUGUUCAAGGGGAACAACUACCUAGUGUGGUCACGGAUGGUGAAGACCGCAGUUGGAAGCAAGAUUACUACUCUCAGUCCAAGAUUUAGCAAGCUGUUUACGUCUAGCUGCUUCAAGAUGGAUAGUGGGAUGAAGAUGAAGGUGGCGGUGGUGUUCAAGGGGAACAACUACCUAGUGUGGUCACGGAUGGUGAAGACCGCAGUUGGAAGGAAAGGCUUGUGGGGACACAUUACCUCUGGAACGCCCCCAAAGUCGGUUGCUCAAGAAGAAGACAAGGAUGAGACAUCAAAGGAUCCAUUCGAGAGGUGGGAGCAGGAAGACAUGAUGGUGAUGUCAGUUCUUCAUGCUUCCUUAGAGCCGGCGAUUCUGGAUGCAUACUGCUACUGUGAGACAGCAAAGGAGUUGUGGGAUACCUUAAAGAGGGUGUAUGGAAACACAUCCAACCUGAGUAGAGUCUUUGAGGUGAAGCAAGAAAUCAACAACUUGACUCAAGAAGACAUGGAGUUUACCAAGCACCUAGGAAGGUUCAGGUCACUCUGGUCCGAGCUAGAGAUGUUGAGGCCAAGCACUGUUGAUCCUAGUGAGCUAAUCAAGAGGCGUGAGCAGGACAAGGUCUUUGGACUGCUCUUGACACUGAAUCCGGCAUACAGUGGGCUGAUACAACACAUGCUGAGAGAUGAUACUUUACCUGACUUGGAGGAAGUGUGUUCUCGGAUUCAGAAAGAGCAAGGGUCAAUUGGGUUGUUUGGGAAGAAGGGGGAGUUGUCUUUAGCUAACCAAGCCGCACAAGCUGAGCAAGGAGAGACUCCACAAGCUAACAGAGCUACGAAUGGGAAGUUUGAGGAUAGGAGGUUCAAUGGGAGCUGUGAUCAUUGCAAGAAGCAAGGCCACAAGAAGAGCCAGUGUUGGAUACUCCACCCACACCUCAAACCGGCAAAGUUCAUGAAGGAAAGGGAAGCUAGAGCUCACAUGUCUGACGGGUCAAGUGAUGUGGGUACUAGCAAGGCUCAAGAAGGUGGUACAAGUGAUGGCAAGUCUCUGGUGGCGUACAUGGGAGCUCCUAGCAGCCGCAACAAUGAUCAGGACUUCAUAAGGAAGGCUGACAUUGAUGCACUCAUCAAGAUGUUCAAGGAUAACGGUAACAUCAAUGGUUAUUCUUACGGUGCUUCCAUGAUUGCUAGGACUGUAGGAGACUUAGAUUGCAUCACUAGAACUGAUAGUAUAGCUAGGUUGCUAAGAAAUGGGAAUAACUACAAUGCAUAUAAGCCAUCUAGUAUACUCGCUCACCUUGCUAGUAAUCAAUCAACUAGACCUCUUAUUGUAGAUUCAGGUGCAUCACAUCACAUGAUUAGUGAUACUAAGUUAAUUAAGAACAUUGUGCCUACUAAGGGUCAUGUGAUGAUUGCAAAUGGUGAUAAGGUUCCAAUCAAAGGAAUAGGAACACUUAAACUGUUUAGUAAAGACUCAAAAGCUUUCUAUAUGCCUGACUUUACUUCAAACUUAUUAUCUGUCAAGAAAUGUGCAACUGACUUGCAAUGCAAUGUCAUAUUUAGUCCUAAUGAUGUGAAGUUUCAGGAUAUUGAAAGCAGCAGAGUGAUUGGAAAAGGAGUAACAAAAGGAGACUUAUAUUUGCUUGAAGAUCUUACUCCUGUUUCUGACAUUAGCUGCUCGUUUACUACUGCUUCUGUUCCUAGUUUAAAUAAGAAUGCAUUGUGGCAUGCUAGACUAGGACACCCUCAUAAUAAGGCUUUAAAACUGAUGUUGCCAGGUGUUUCUUUUGAAAACAAUGAUUGUGAAGCUUGCAUUUUAGGCAAGCAUUGUAGAACUGUAUUUCCAAACUCUUCUACGGUUUAUGAGAAUUGCUUUGAUCUUAUUCACUCUGAUGUAUGGACUGCUCCUUGUUUAUCUAGAGAGAAUCAUAAGUAUUAUGUCUCAUUCAUUGAUGAAAAAUCUAAAUACACCUGGUUAACCUUAAUUCCAACUAAAGAUAGGGUACUUGAUGCAUUUAAAAAUUUUCAAUCCUAUGUAACUAACCAUUAUCAAGCCAAGAUUAAGAUUUUCAGGUCAGAUAAUGGAGGAGAAUACAUUGGACAAGCUUUCAAGCAACACUUAUCUCAGUAUGGAAUUCUUCAUCAAACAAGCUGUCCCUACACUCCACAACAGAAUGGUGUGGCUGAGAGGAAGAAUAGGCACCUUAUGGAAGUUGCAAGAUCAAUGAUGUUCCAAGCUAAUGUACCUAAGAAGUUUUGGAGUGAUGCAGUAGCCACGGCCUGCUAUCUAAUCAACAGGACUCCCACACUGAUCCUGAAAGGGCAGUCACCAUUUGAGGUUCUCAACAAACAUAAACCCUCAUUAGAACAUAUUAGGAUCUUUGGGUGUUUAUGUUAUGUUUUGAUACCCGGGGAGUUGAGAAACAAGCUUGAAGCUAGGAGUACUAAGGCAAUGUUUAUUGGCUACUCUACAACCCAAAAGGGAUACAAGUGUUAUAAUCCAGACACAAGAAGGGUGCUGGUAUCAAGGGAUGUGAAGUUUGUUGAAGAGAGAGGAUAUUAUGAGGAGCAAAACAAAGAAGACUUGAAGGAUCUUACCUCGGAGAGAGCCACUACCUUGCGGAUCAUCUUAGAAAGUAUUGGAGUCAAGGUGAGACAAGAUCAGCAAGGAUCUGGCAGUAACCCAGGAUCUCAACCACCAAAUGGUGGACGUUCAGUAACUCCCACUUCUGAUCAUGGGGGGGAAAGGAGUGAACCAGAGACAACUCAAGAGAGUAGUGGAGCAUCUGGUACACAUGAUCAAGAUGUGGAAGUAAGUGAACAGCAAGAUGGAGCUGAAGCAAGUCAGCUAGGAGAAGAAGAGGCAGUUGAAGUGUCUACUUCUGUACCACAAGAAAGUGGAGAAGAAUCACAAGUGGAAGUGGAACAACCGGAACCAGCAUUGAGAAGAAGCACACGGAUUAGGAGAGAUGCUUCCAAUUGGGUAAACACGAGAGUGUACUACAAUGCCCAGGCUGUGGAGCAUCCUUCUCAAGCUGUGUGUUCCUUUGCUCAAUACCCUGAAGAACAUUGUGCUUUUAUGGUAAACUUGGAUGAGAACUACAUACCAAGAAGCUAUGAAGAGGCAAUGAUGGAUAAAGAAUGGAAGGAAUCAGUUGGAGCUGAGGCAGGAGCUAUGAUCAAGAAUGAUACAUGGUAUGAGAGUGAGUUGCCAAAAGGGAAGAAGGCGGUGACUAGUAGAUGGAUCUUCACAAUCAAGUAUAAGGCUGAUGGAAAGGUGGAGAGGAAGAAGUCAAGAUUGGUUGCAAGAGGCUUUACUCAAACUUAUGGAGAAGAUUACAUUGAGACCUUUGCACCAGUAGCUAAACUUCACACAAUCCGGAUUGUUUGUCUUAAGCUUAGCUGUGAACCUUGGAUGGGGCUUAUGGCAAAUGGAUGUGAAGAAUGCAUUUCUACAAGGAGAGCUGGAGGAUGAAGUGUAUAUGCAUCCACCUCCAGGCUUGGAACACUUAGUGAAGAGAGGGAAUGUGUUGAGACUGAAGAAAGCUAUCUAUGGAUUGAAGCAAUCUCCAAGAGCUUGGUACAACAAGCUGAGUACUACUCUGAAUGGCCGAGGCUUCAAGAAGUCCGAACUAGACCACACCCUCUUCACUCUCACUACUUCCUCAGGUAUGAUUGCACUCCUUGUGUAUGUUGAUGAUAUCAUUAUCACAGGAAGUGAUAAGGAAGGUAUCAUAGCAACCAAGGAGUUCCUUAAGUUGAUGAUAUCAUUAUCACAGGGAGUGAUAAGGAAGGUAUCAUAGCAACCAAGGAGUUUCUUAAAUCCAUGUUUGAGAUUAAAGACUUGGGAGAAAUGAAAUACUUUCUUGGAAUUGAGAUAUGUAGAUCCAAGGAAGGUUUGUUCAUGUCCCAAAGGAAGUAUACACUUGAUCUUUUGAAAGGUGCAGGUGCUUAUGGAGGCAAGACAGCAAGGAUGCCUAUGGAGGAUGGCUACAAAGUCCCACGAGAGGGGGAGAUUGAAGACAGCAAGCCUUAUCAGGAUCCUAAACACUAUAGAAAGCUAGUUGGUAAAUUGAUUUACCUUACAAUAACUAGGCCUGACAUUUGCUUUGCUGUGAAUCAGGUGAGUCAACACAUGCAAGUGCCUAAGGAACAUCAUUGGCGCAUGGUGGAGAGGAUCUUGAUGUAUCUCAACGGCUCACCUGAUCAAGGAGUAUGGAUGGGUUGCAAUGGGAGCACUGAAGUGGUCGGAUACUGUGAUGCGGAUUGGGCUGGUGAUAGAGCAGACAGGAGAUCAACCACAGGCUAUUGCACAUUCAUUGGAGGCAACUUGGUUACUUGGAAGAGUAAGAAGCAGAAGGUGGUGUCUUGCUCAAGUGCAGAAGCUGAGUAUAGAGCCAUGCUGAAGCUGACCAACGAGCUGGUGUGGAUCAAGGGCAUCUUGAAGCAUUUGGAGAUUGAUCAAGCCACGCCAAUGACAAUGCAUUGUGAUAACCAAGCUGCCAUCCACAUUGCCUCCAACUCGGUGUUCCAUGAGAGAACCAAGCACAUUGAAGUGGAUUGUCUGCCAUCCACAUUGCCUCCAACUCGGUGUUCCAUGAGAGAACCAAGCACAUUGAAGUUGAUUGCCACAAGGUGAGGCAGAUGAUCAUCUUAGGAGUCAUCUUGCCAUGCUACACAAGAAGUGAAGAUCAGUUAGCGGAUGUGUUCACCAAGGCUGCAAGACAGAAGACAAUGGAGUCCAUUCACAUCAGGUUGGGCCUCAUUGAUCUUGGGAAGAGAAGGAGCUGAUCCCCUUGGCUGUGAGGUCUUCACUCUUUUUCCCUCAUCAAGGUUUUGUCCCAAUGGGUUUUCCUUGGUGAGGUUUUUAAUGAGGAAGAUCUUGUGGCUGUCCAAGCUUAGACUUUCACAAAGCUAAGCUUGAGGGGGAGUGUUGAGAUGAGGAAGUCAUUAUGGUAAGGAGAAGAGGAGUUGGGCAAGUAAUGGAAGAGUGUACGGCCUAUGUACGGAUAGGGCAUGUACGGAUAGAUCAUGUACGGAUAGGGCAUGACCGUACAGCUUAGGAAACAUGAAGGAAGAAGGAGUUGGAUGAGUGAAGCCUCUAGAGUACACGGAAGGUUUAAGACUGAUCAGACCGUUUAGAGAUAAGGGCGGGACGAGCCUUAUCCAUUCAGUCUUUGGACAGGCUGUAAAGGCAAAGCGAAAGCAUGUGAGCCUUACCGUCCGUUGAAUUCAAAAGAAGCGCUCCCUCCUUGACUUGACUUCACAUGCUUAUGACUAGUGCCAUUUCUCCUUACUUGUAAACCCUAAUGUAUCUCCUAUAAGUAUUGUAAUCCCAUCUCAUAAUAAGAUUAGACAGUUCUGAUUAUUCUUAGCCUCCAUGGCGUUUCUCUUAGUCUCUUGAUCUAAUCUCUUACUCUCUACACUCGUUUCGUCUCUAAUCUCUCUCAAAUCUAUUCUAAGCACUCAGAUUACUCUUCAUUUCUCUAAAGUCAUAGUGGGAUACUGUGAUGCGGAUUGGGCUGGAGAUAGAGCAGACAGGAGAUCAACCACCGGCUAUUGUACAUUCAUUGGAGGCAACUUGGUGACUUGGAAGAGUAAGAAGCAGAAGGUGGUGUCUUGUUCAAGCGCUGAAGCUGAGUAUAGAGCAAUGCUGAAGCUUACCAAUGAGUUGGUAUGGAUCAAAGGAAUCUUGAAGCACUUGGAGAUAGAGCAGGGAACUCCAAUGACUAUGCAUUGUGAUAAUCAAGCGGCUAUACACAUUGCGACCAACUCAGUCUUCCAUGAGAGAACCAAGCACAUUGAAGUUGAUUGUCACAAGGUGAGGCAGAUGAUUGUCUUGGGAGUGAUCUUGCCAUGCUACACAAGGAGUGAGGAUCAACUUGCGGAUGUGUUCACCAAGGCCGCAAGACAAAAGACUAUGGAGUCCAUUCAUACCAGAUUGGGGCUCAUAGAUCUUUCCCAAAGGAGCUGAUCCCCUUUGCCAUGAGGUCUUCACUCUUUUUCCCUCAUCAAGGUUUUGUCCCAAUGGGUUUUCCUUGGUGAGGUUUUUAAUGAGGAAGAUCUCAUGGUGGUUCCAAGCUUAACUAAGUUACUAAGUUAAGCUUGAGGGGGAGUGUUGAAAUGAGUUGAUCAAUAUGUGAGAAGAUGGCUUAGGGAGUUGAGGAUGUGAGAAUGUGGAGGCAAAGGGAAGGAAGGUUAGGGAUCGACCAGGCCGUACAAGAGGCCGUACUGGCCGUACCGUCCGUACUGUCCGGGUCGAUCCAUAACUCGACCAAGAAGAGAAGUUACCCGGGUAAGAGAGGUAAACGGCCAAAGGGGUUUUACCUUAGAAGAUAUGACUGUUUGGAUGGAUAGAGUGACCGCGGCUUAUCCUGACAGUCUGGCACAGGCUGUAAAGGCAAAAGGAGUCUCACCCAAAGAUGCCUUAAGCGUGUGAUCUUCCCCAUUGGUUUACAUUCAAAUUAAAGCAACCUUAUCCUUGACCUCACAUGCUUAGUGCUUCUGAAUACCCUAAUGUCUCUCUCUAUAUAUUGUAAACCCUGUCUUGAUUAAUGAUUAACACGAGUUCAUCAUAUUCUCUCUCUAAUUCAUCAUGUUUCUCUUCUACAUUUCAUAAAUCAUCUCAUCUCACUUUAAUCUUUCUCUAAAUCUCUCAAUACCUGUUCAACUCUCUAAAAUCAUAUGGUAUCAGAGCCAGGUUGGCUUUGGUAUUGAGAUUUAGAGUGUUCUUCAGCUUCAGUUCAUACUCUUUCAUACUUUCUUUUCGGUUCUAACAAAGCAAGAUGGAGGGAAACUACAAGGUCAUUACGGUUCCUGUUGCGUUGAAGGGUGGUAGUAACUACCUGUUGUGGUCAAGGCUGGUGAAGACAGCCAUUGGGAGGCUAGGGCUGUGGAGUCACAUCACGGAUGAUGCAACCAAGCCAGUGGCUAAAGACGGAGAAGGAGAUGAAGGUGUGGGAGAUCAAGUUGCUGCUGCCGAGAAGAAGUGGAUUCAAGAAGACUUGAUGGUGCUUUCAGUACUACAAGGGUCCCUUGAAGAGCAUCUCUUGGAGGCCUACAGCUACUGCGAGACUCCAAAACACCUGUGGGAGGUACUCCAGAAGACAUUUGGGAACGUUACCAAUCUGAACCGCGUGUAUGAGAUUAAGAAGGCUAUCAACACACUGGUUCAAGAUGGAGAAGAGUUCACCAAGCAUUUGGGCAAGUAUAGAUCCUUGUGGUCUGAGCUUGAAUCAUUGAGGCCAAGCACCGCGGAUCAAGAGCUACUCAUGGAGAGGAGGGAGCAGGAUCAGGUGUUUGGAUUGCUGCUGACACUAGAUCCUCCGUUCAAUGAUGUGAUCAAGCACAUGUUGAGGAUGCCGAGUCUUCCAUCUAUGGAGGAAGUGUGUGCGCAGAUUCAGAAGGAAGAGGGGUCACUUGGUAUGUUUGGAGGGAAAGGAGACAUGGCUCUGUCCAACAAGGCUGAAGCAAUCCAAGCACACAAGGCUGCUUACCGUGGAGAGGAAAGGAAGUUCAGUGGAAACUGUGACCAUUGCAAGAAGCCGGGACACAAGAGGAGUCAGUGCUGGAUCCUACACCCCCAUUUGAAGCCGGCCAAGUUCAACAAGGAGAGAGAGGGAAGAGCUCACCUUUCUGCAGAGACAAGUGAAGCUGGCGCAUCAGGAGCUGGCUCAUCUGGUCUUGCGGGUGAAAGUGAAGGAAGAGCCUUAACCUCUCACCACCAAGGAGCUGUGAAGAACAUGGAUCAUGAGGUGAUCAAGAAGUCAGACAUUGAUGCCUUGAUCAAAGCCCUUAAAGAGUCUGGUAAAGCCCUUGGUUAUUCCUAUACUGCUCAUAUGUUGCCUAGAACUUGUGAUAGCUUGCUAGGAAACUUUGAUAGAAUGGGAAAUGAACCAGAUAGAUAUACAACCUUUGCUGCUGAUAGGAUGUCUAGAAAUGAAUUCACAUUGCUUGAUCUCAUUGAUAAACUGAAACUGGUAAAAGAAUCACCUAGGAAUCAUAUUGCUCAAGGAAUAAAACCGUUGAUUAUUGAUUCAGGUGCUUCACAUCAUAUGAUAAGUGAUGAUAGCCAUAUAAAGAACAUAGAACCGGCUCAUGGACAUGUAAUGAUUGCAAAUGGUGAUAGAAUUCCUAUUAGAGGAGUAGGAGACUUGAAACUGUUUAAUAAGGAUUCUAAAGCUUUGUACAUGCCUGAGUUUACUUCUAAUCUAUUAUCUGUUAAGAGGUGUACCAAUGAUCUUCAAUGCAAUGUUAUUUUCAGUCCUAAUGAUGUGAAAUUUCAGGAUAUUGAAAGCAGUAAGUUGAUUGGGCAAGGAGUAACCAAAGGAGACCUUUAUUUACUUGAAGACCUUUCUAUCAUUUCUAGUUCUAGUUGCUUGUUGAGUUCCGUUUUAAGUAGAGGUGCAUUGUGGCAUUCUAGGCUAGGACAUCCACAUGUUAGAGCCUUAAGCUUAAUGUUACCAGGUGUCAUGUUUAAAAAUAAUGAAUGUGAAGCUUGUAUUUUGGGAAAACAUUGUAAGACUGUGUUCAAGAGAUCUACUACUAUCUAUGAUAAAUGCUUUGAUCUUGUUCAUUCUGAUGUAUGGACUGCUCCAUGCUUAUCUAGGGACAAUUACAAAUACUUUGUCACAUUCAUAGAUGAAAAAUCCAAAUACACCUGGAUAACACUAAUUAAAACAAAGGAUAGGGUUCUAGAUGCAUUUAGAAACUUUCAAUCAUAUGUUUCUAACCAGUAUAAUGCCAAGAUUAAGAUUUUCAGGUCUGAUAAUGGUGGAGAGUAUACUGGCCAUGCAUUCAAGAACCAUCUAGCUCAACAUGGGAUACUUCACCAAACGAGUUGCCCCUAUACACCUCAACAAAAUGGAGUGGCUGAGAGAAAGAACAGACAUCUUAUGGAAGUGGCUAGAUCAAUGAUGUUCCAGAUGAGAGUGCCAAAGAGAUUCUGGAGUGAUGCUGUGAUCACGGCUUGCUACCUAAUCAAUAGGAUUCCAACCAAGAUCCUGGAAGACAAAGCUCCUUAUGAAGUUCUCAACAACAGCAAGCCAGUCCUAGAUCACCUAAGAGUGUUUGGGUGUGUAAGCUAUGUUCUUAUCCCGGGAGAGAUAAGAAACAAGCUGGAAGCAAAGAGUAUCAAAGCUAUGAUGAUAGGAUACUCAACCACACAGAAGGGAUACAAGUGCUUUGUUCCUGAGUCAAGGAGAGUUCUUGUAUCAAGAGAUGUCAAGUUCUUUGAAGAGAAGAGCUACUAUGAAGAUAAAGAUUGGAAAGAGCUGGAGGAUCUUUCACAACCUUCAGAUAGAGCUACAAGCUUGAGACAGAUACUAGAAGGUCUUGGAAUUGGAAUGUCCCAGGAGUCGACAGAGAAUCAGUCAUCUGAAAGACAAGAAGCUGAAGAACCAUCUCACCUUGAUCAUGAGGGAGGGAAUGGAAUUGAGCCGGAUGAGAAUCAAGAUUUUGCGGAUCAUCCUGAUCAAGGUGGAGCUGAACCAAGUAAUGAAGAGCUUAAUGAGUUACCAGAACAAGGAGAAGUGGAAGCAACUGAAGUAGAAGCACCAGAGCAAGCACCAGCUGAGGUACCAUUGAGGAGAAGCACACGGCUGAAGAGAGAUGCUUCCAACUGGGUAAACACGAGAGUGUACUACAAUGCCCAGGCUGUGGAGCAUCCUUCUCAAGCUGUGUGUUCAUUUGCCUGUUAUCCAAAGGAGCAUUGCGCAUUCAUGAUGAGCCUAGAUGAAAGUAGUGUACCAAGAUCAUAUGAAGAGGCAAUGCUACAUCAAGAUUGGAAGGAAUCUGUUGGAGAUGAGGCAAAUGCCAUGAUAAAGAAUGACACUUGGUUUGAAAGUGAGUUGCCAAAAGGAAAGAAGGCAGUAACCAGCAAGUGGAUAUUCACCAUUAAGUAUCUACCUGAUGGAACCAUUGACAGAAAGAAGACAAGACUGGUGGCUAGAGGAUACACUCAAACAUAUGGGGAAGACUACAUUGAUACCUUUGCCCCUGUUGCUAAGCUACAUACAAUAAGAAUUGUAUUGUCUCUUGCUGUGAACCUUGAGUGGGAGCUUUGGCAGAUGGAUGUGAAGAAUGCAUUUCUUCAGGGAGAACUAGAAGAUGAAGUGUACAUGCAUCCACCACCGGGUCUUGAACAUCUUGUGAAACCAGGGAAUGUAUUGAGACUCAAGAAGGCAAUCUAUGGGUUGAAGCAAUCACCUAGAGCAUGGUACAACAAGCUGAGUACUACUCUGAAUGGCCGUGGGUUCAAGAAGUCAGAGUUGGAUCACACCCUCUUCACCCUCACUACACCUUCAGGUAUCAUCUGUCUACUCGUAUAUGUUGAUGACAUUAUCAUAACAGGUAGUGAUAAGGCUGGUAUAAAAGCCACAAAGGAGUUUUUGAAAUCUGUGUUUGAAAUCAAGGACUUAGGGGAAAUGAAAUACUUCCUUGGAAUUGAGUUGUGUAGAUCUAAGGAAGGAUUGUUCAUUUCCCAAAGGAAGUAUACACUUGAUCUUUUGAAAGAUGCAGGUAUACAAGGAGACAAGACAGCAAAGAUGCCUCUUGAAGAUGGAUACAAGGUUCCACGUGAGGGGGAGGUUCAAGAUAGCAAGGCCUUUCAUGAUCCAAAGCUGUACAGGAAGCUAGUAGGGAAGCUCAUCUACCUUACAAUCACACGACCAGACAUAUGCUUUGCGGUGAACCAAGUGAGCCAGCAUAUGCAAGUCCCAAAGGAUCAUCACUGGCGAAUGGUGGAGAGACUUCUCUUGUAUCUGAAUGGGACGUCAAGCCUUGGAGUGUGGAUGGGAUGUAACAAGAGCACUGAAGUGGUGGGAUACUGUGAUGCGGAUUGGGCUGGAGAUAGAGCAGACAGGAGAUCAACCACCGGCUAUUGUACAUUCAUUGGAGGCAACUUGGUGACUUGGAAGAGUAAGAAGCAGAAGGUGGUGUCUUGUUCAAGCGCUGAAGCUGAGUAUAGAGCAAUGCUGAAGCUUACCAAUGAGUUGGUAUGGAUCAAAGGAAUCUUGAAGCACUUGGAGAUAGAGCAGGGAACUCCAAUGACUAUGCAUUGUGAUAAUCAAGCGGCUAUACACAUUGCGACCAACUCAGUCUUCCAUGAGAGAACCAAGCACAUUGAAGUUGAUUGUCACAAGGUGAGGCAGAUGAUUGUCUUGGGAGUGAUCUUGCCAUGCUACACAAGGAGUGAGGAUCAACUUGCGGAUGUGUUCACCAAGGCCGCAAGACAAAAGACUAUGGAGUCCAUUCAUACCAGAUUGGGGCUCAUAGAUCUUUCCCAAAGGAGCUGAUCCCCUUUGCCAUGAGGUCUUCACUCUUUUUCCCUCAUCAAGGUUUUGUCCCAAUGGGUUUUCCUUGGUGAGGUUUUUAAUGAGGAAGAUCUCAUGGUGGUUCCAAGCUUAACUAAGUUACUAAGUUAAGCUUGAGGGGGAGUGUUGAAAUGAGUUGAUCAAUAUGUGAGAAGAUGGCUUAGGGAGUUGAGGAUGUGAGAAUGUUAGGGAUCGACCAGGCCGUACAAGAGGCCGUACUGGCCGUACCGUCCGUACUGUCCGGGUCGAUCCAUAACUCGACCAAGAAGAGAAGUUACCCGGGUAAGAGAGGUAAACGGCCAAAGGGGUUUUACCUUAGAAGAUAUGACUGUUUGGAUGGAUAGAGUGACCGCGGCUUAUCCUGACAGUCUGGCACAGGCUGUAAAGGCAAAAGGAGUCUCACCCAAAGAUGCCUUAAGCGUGUGAUCUUCCCCAUUGGUUUACAUUCAAAUUAAAGCAACCUUAUCCUUGACCUCACAUGCUUAGUGCUUCUGAAUACCCUAAUGUCUCUCUCUAUAUAUUGUAAACCCUGUCUUGAUUAAUGAUUAACACGAGUUCAUCAUAUUCUCUCUCUAAAUCCUUGACCUCACAUGCUUAGUGCUUCUGAAUACCCUAAUGUCUCUCUCUAUAUAUUGUAAACUCUGUCUUGAUUAAUGAUUAACACGAGUUCAUCAUAUUCUCUCUCUAGUUCAUCAUGUUUCUCUUCUACAUUUCAUAAAUCAUCUCAUCUCACUUUAAUCUUUCUCUAAAUCUCUCAAUACCUGUUCAACUCUCUAAAAUCAUAUGGUAUCAGAGCCAGGUUGGCUUUGGUAUUGAGAUUUAGAGUGUUCUUCAGCUUCAGUUCAUACUCUUUCAUACUUUCUUUUCGGUUCUAACAAAGCAAGAUGGAGGGAAACUACAAGGUCAUUACGGUUCCUGUUGCGUUGAAGGGUGGUAGUAACUACCUGUUGUGGUCAAGGCUGGUGAAGACAGCCAUUGGGAGGCUAGGGCUGUGGAGUCACAUCACGGAUGAUGCAACCAAGCCAGUGGCUAAAGACGGAGAAGGAGAUGAAGGUGUGGGAGAUCAAGUUGCUGCUGCCGAGAAGAAGUGGAUUCAAGAAGACUUGAUGGUGCUUUCAGUACUACAAGGGUCCCUUGAAGAGCAUCUCUUGGAGGCCUACAGCUACUGCGAGACUCCAAAACACCUGUGGGAGGUACUCCAGAAGAUAUUUGGGAACGUUACCAAUCUGAACCGCGUGUAUGAGAUUAAGAAGGCUAUCAACACACUGGUUCAAGAUGGAGAAGAGUUCACCAAGCAUUUGGGCAAGUAUAGAUCCUUGUGGUCUGAGCUUGAAUCAUUGAGGCCAAGCACCGCGGAUCAAGAGCUACUCAUGGAGAGGAGGGAGCAGGAUCAGGUGUUUGGAUUGCUGCUGACACUAGAUCCUCCGUUCAAUGAUGUGAUCAAGCACAUGUUGAGGAUGCCGAGUCUUCCAUCUAUGGAGGAAGUGUGUGCGCAGAUUCAGAAGGAAGAGGGGUCACUUGGUAUGUUUGGAGGGAAAGGAGACAUGGCUCUGUCCAACAAGGCUGAAGCAAUCCAAGCACACAAGGCUGCUUACCGUGGAGAGGAAAGGAAGUUCAGUGGAAACUGUGACCAUUGCACGAAGCCGGGACACAAGAGGAGUCAGUGCUGGAUCCUACACCCCCAUUUGAAGCCGGCCAAGUUCAACAAGGAGAGAGAGGGAAGAGCUCACCUUUCUGCAGAGACAAGUGAAGCUGGCGCAUCAGGAGCUGGCUCAUCUGGUCUUGCGGGUGAAAGUGAAGGAAGAGCCUUAACCUCUCACCACCAAGGAGCUGUGAAGAACAUGGAUCAUGAGGUGAUCAAGAAGUCAGACAUUGAUGCCUUGAUCAAAGCCCUUAAAGAGUCUGGUAAAGCCCUUGGUUAUUCCUAUACUGCUCAUGUGUUGCCUAGAACUUGUGAUAGCUUGCUAGGAAACUUUGAUAGAAUGGGAAAUGAACCAGAUAGAUAUACAACCUUUGCUGCUGAUAGGAUGUCUAGAAAUGAAUUCACAUUGCUUGAUCUCAUUGAUAAACUGAAACUGGUAAAAGAAUCACCUAGGAAUCAUAUUGCUCAAGGAAUAAAACCGUUGAUUAUUGAUUCAGGUGCUUCACAUCAUAUGAUAAGUGAUGAUAGCCUUAUAAAGAACAUAGAACCGGCUCAUGGACAUGUAAUGAUUGCAAAUGGUGAUAGAAUUCCUAUUAGAGGAGUAGGAGACUUGAAACUGUUUAAUAAGGAUUCUAAAGCUUUGUACAUGCCUGAGUUUACUUCUAAUCUAUUAUCUGUUAAGAGGUGUACCAAUGAUCUUCAAUGCAAUGUUAUUUUCAGUCCUAAUGAUGUGAAAUUUCAGGAUAUUGAAAGCAGUAAGUUGAUUGGGCAAGGAGUAACCAAAGGAGACCUUUAUUUACUUGAAGACCUUUCUAUCAUUUCUAGUUCUAGUUGCUUGUUGAGUUCCGUUUUAGGUAGAGGUGCAUUGUGGCAUUCUAGGCUAGGACAUCCACAUGUUAGAGCCUUAAGCUUAAUGUUACCAGGUGUCAUGUUUAAAAAUAAUGAAUGUGAAGCUUGUAUUUUGGGAAAACAUUGUAAGACUGUGUUCAAGAGAUCUACUACUAUCUAUGAUAAAUGCUUUGAUCUUGUUCAUUCUGAUGUAUGGACUGCUCCAUGCUUAUCUAGGGACAAUUACAAAUACUUUGUCACAUUCAUAGAUGAAAAAUCCAAAUACACCUGGAUAACACUAAUUAAAACAAAGGAUAGGGUUCUAGAUGCAUUUAGAAACUUUCAAUCAUAUGUUUCUAACCAGUAUAAUGCCAAGAUUAAGAUUUUCAGGUCUGAUAAUGGUGGAGAGUAUACUGGCCAUGCAUUCAAGAACCAUCUAGCUCAACAUGGGAUACUUCACCAAACGAGUUGCCCUUAUACACCUCAACAAAAUGGAGUGGCUGAGAGAAAGAACAGACAUCUUAUGGAAGUGGCUAGAUCAAUGAUGUUCCAGAUGAGAGUGCCAAAGAGAUUCUGGAGUGAUGCUGUGAUCACGGCUUGCUACCUAAUCAAUAGGAUUCCAACCAAGAUCCUGGAAGACAAAGCUCCUUAUGAAGUUCUCAACAACAGCAAGCCAGUCCUAGAUCACCUAAGAGUGUUUGGGUGUGUAAGCUAUGUUCUUAUCCCGGGAGAGAUAAGAAACAAGCUGGAAGCAAAGAGUAUCAAAGCUGUGAUGAUAGGAUACUCAACCACACAGAAGGGAUACAAGUGCUUUGUUCCUGAGUCAAGGAGAGUUCUUGUAUCAAGAGAUGUCAAGUUCUUUGAAGAGAAGAGCUACUAUGAAGAUAAAGAUUGGAAAGAGCUGGAGGAUCUUUCACAACCUUCAGAUAGAGCUACAAGCUUGAGACAGAUACUAGAAGGUCUUGGAAUUGGAAUGUCCCAGGAGUCGACAGAGAAUCAGUCAUCUGAAAGACAAGAAGCUGAAGAACCAUCUCACCUUGAUCAUGAGGGAGGGAAUGGAAUUGAGCCGGAUGAGAAUCAAGAUUUUGCGGAUCAUCCUGAUCAAGGUGGAGCUGAACCAAGUAAUGAAGAGCUUAAUGAGUUACCAGAACAAGGAGAAGUGGAAGCAACUGAAGUAGAAGCACCAGAGCAAGCACCAGCUGAGGUACCAUUGAGGAGAAGCACACGGCUGAAGAGAGAUGCUUCCAACUGGGUAAACACGAGAGUGUACUACAAUGCCCAGGCUGUGGAGCAUCCUUCUCAAGCUGUGUGUUCAUUUGCCUGUUAUCCAAAGGAGCAUUGCGCAUUCAUGAUGAGCCUAGAUGAAAGUAGUGUACCAAGAUCAUAUGAAGAGGCAAUGCUACAUCAAGAUUGGAAGGAAUCUGUUGGAGAUGAGGCAAAUGCCAUGAUAAAGAAUGACACUUGGUUUGAAAGUGAGUUGCCAAAAGGAAAGAAGGCAGUAACCAGCAAGUGGAUAUUCACCAUUAAGUAUCUACCUGAUGGAACCAUUGACAGAAAGAAGACAAGACUGGUGGCUAGAGGAUACACUCAAACAUAUGGGGAAGACUACAUUGAUACCUUUGCCCCUGUUGCUAAGCUACAUACAAUAAGAAUUGUAUUGUCUCUUGCUGUGAACCUUGAGUGGGAGCUUUGGCAGAUGGAUGUGAAGAAUGCAUUUCUUCAGGGAGAACUAGAAGAUGAAGUGUACAUGCAUCCACCACCGGGUCUUGAACAUCUUGUGAAACCAGGGAAUGUAUUGAGACUCAAGAAGGCAAUCUAUGGGUUGAAGCAAUCACCUAGAGCAUGGUACAACAAGCUGAGUACUACUCUGAAUGGCCGUGGGUUCAAGAAGUCAGAGUUGGAUCACACCCUCUUCACCCUCACUACACCUUCAGGUAUCAUCUGUCUACUCGUAUAUGUUGAUGACAUUAUCAUAACAGGUAGUGAUAAGGCUGGUAUAAAAGCCACAAAGGAGUUUUUGAAAUCUGUGUUUGAAAUCAAGGACUUAGGGGAAAUGAAAUACUUCCUUGGAAUUGAGUUGUGUAGAUCUAAGGAAGGAUUGUUCAUUUCCCAAAGGAAGUAUACACUUGAUCUUUUGAAAGAUGCAGGUAUACAAGGAGACAAGACAGCAAAGAUGCCUCUUGAAGAUGGAUACAAGGUUCCACGUGAGGGGGAGGUUGAAGAUAGCAAGGCCUUUCAUGAUCCAAAGCUGUACAGGAAGCUAGUAGGGAAGCUCAUCUACCUUACAAUCACACGACCAGACAUAUGCUUUGCGGUGAACCAAGUGAGCCAGCAUAUGCAAGUCCCAAAUGAUCAUCACUGGCGAAUGGUGGAGAGACUUCUCUUGUAUCUGAAUGGGACGUCAAGCCUUGGAGUGUGGAUGGGAUGCAACAAGAGCACUGAAGUGGUGGGAUACUGUGAUGCGGAUUGGGCUGGAGAUAGAGCAGACAGGAGAUCAACCACCGGCUAUUGUACAUUCAUUGGAGGCAACUUGGUGACUUGGAAGAGUAAGAAGCAGAAGGUGGUGUCUUGUUCAAGCGCUGAAGCUGAGUAUAGAGCAAUGCUGAAGCUUACCAAUGAGUUGGUAUGGAUCAAAGGAAUCUUGAAGCACUUGGAGAUAGAGCAGGGAACUCCAAUGACUAUGCAUUGUGAUAAUCAAGCGGCUAUACACAUUGCGACCAACUCAGUCUUCCAUGAGAGAACCAAGCACAUUGAAGUUGAUUGUCACAAGGUGAGGCAGAUGAUUGUCUUGGGAGUGAUCUUGCCAUGCUACACAAGGAGUGAGGAUCAACUUGCGGAUGUGUUCACCAAGGCCGCAAGACAAAAGACUAUGGAGUCCAUUCAUACCAGAUUGGGGCUCAUAGAUCUUUCCCCAAGGAGCUGAUCCCCUUUGCCAUGAGGUCUUCACUCUUUUUCCCUCAUCAAGGUUUUGUCCCAAUGGGUUUUCCUUGGUGAGGUUUUUAAUGAGGAAGAUCUCAUGGUGGUUCCAAGCUUAACUAAGUUACUAAGUUAAGCUUGAGGGGGAGUGUUGAAAUGAGUUGAUCAAUAUGUGAGAAGAUGGCUUAGGGAGUUGAGGAUGUGAGAAUGUGGAGGCAAAGGGAAGGAAGGUUAGGGAUCGACCAGGCCGUACAAGAGGCCGUACUGGCCGUACCGUCCGUACUGUCCGGGUCGAUCCAUAACUCGACCAAGAAGAGAAGUUACCCGGGUAAGAGAGGUAAACGGCCAAAGGGGUUUUACCUUAGAAGAUAUGACUGUUUGGAUGGAUAGAGUGACCGCGGCUUAUCCUGACAGUCUGGCACAGGCUGUAAAGGCAAAAGGAGUCUCAACCAAAGAUGCCUUAAGCGUGUGAUCUUCCCCAUUGGUUUACAUUCAAAUUAAAGCAACCUUAUCCUUGACCUCACAUGCUUAGUGCUUCUGAAUACCCUAAUGUCUCUCUCUAUAUAUUGUAAACUCUGUCUUGAUUAAUGAUUAACACGAGUUCAUCAUAUUCUCUCUCUAGUUCAUCAUGUUUCUCUUCUACAUUUCAUAAAUCAUCUCAUCUCACUUUAAUCUUUCUCUAAAUCUCUCAAUACCUGUUCAACUCUCUAAAAUCAUAGGUUUGAUUGGAACGACGAAGAAGCUGUCCAAUUCCCAAACUGGGAAAGAGGAAGCACCUGAUUUGAAAGUGGGAUAACUUUUUUAUCCUAACUCCUAUGAGAUUUAUUCAACUUCCUGGUGAUUCUCCACCACAUUAUGUAUCCAAAUAAAGCUUCUCACAAAGUGAUUCAUCCCGGUUUUGUUGAAAUGAGUUGAUCAAUAUGUGAGAAGAUGGCUUAGGGAGUUGAGGAUGUGAGAAUGUGGAGGCAAAGGGAAGGAAGGUUAGGGAUCGACCAGGCCGUACAAGAGGCCGUACUGGCCGUACCGUCCGUACUGUCCGGGUCGAUCCAUAACUCGACCAAGAAGAGAAGUUACCCGGGUAAGAGAGGUAAACGGCCAAAGGGGUUUUACCUUAGAAGAUAUGACUGUUUGGAUGGAUAGAGUGACCGCGGCUUAUCCUGACAGUCUGGCACAGGCUGUAAAGGCAAAAGGAGUCUCAACCAAAGAUGCCUUAAGCGUGUGAUCUUCCCCAUUGGUUUACAUUCAAAUUAAAGCAACCUUAUCCUUGACCUCACAUGCUUAGUGCUUCUGAAUACCCUAAUGUCUCUCUCUAUAUAUUGUAAACUCUGUCUUGAUUAAUGAUUAACACGAGUUCAUCAUAUUCUCUCUCUAGUUCAUCAUGUUUCUCUUCUACAUUUCAUAAAUCAUCUCAUCUCACUUUAAUCUUUCUCUAAAUCUCUCAAUACCUGUUCAACUCUCUAAAAUCAUAUGGUAUCAGAGCCAGGUUGGCUUUGGUAUUGAGAUUUAGAGUGUUCUUCAGCUUCAGUUCAUACUCUUUCAUACUUUCUUUUCGGUUCUAACAAAGCAAGAUGGAGGGAAACUACAAGGUCAUUACGGUUCCUGUUGCGUUGAAGGGUGGUAGUAACUACCUGUUGUGGUCAAGGCUGGUGAAGACAGCCAUUGGGAGGCUAGGGCUGUGGAGUCACAUCACGGAUGAUGCAACCAAGCCAGUGGCUAAAGACGGAGAAGGAGAUGAAGGUGUGGGAGAUCAAGUUGCUGCUGCCGAGAAGAAGUGGAUUCAAGAAGACUUGAUGGUGCUUUCAGUACUACAAGGGUCCCUUGAAGAGCAUCUCUUGGAGGCCUACAGCUACUGCGAGACUCCAAAACACCUGUGGGAGGUACUCCAGAAGAUAUUUGGGAACGUUACCAAUCUGAACCGCGUGUAUGAGAUUAAGAAGGCUAUCAACACACUGGUUCAAGAUGGAGAAGAGUUCACCAAGCAUUUGGGCAAGUAUAGAUCCUUGUGGUCUGAGCUUGAAUCAUUGAGGCCAAGCACCGCGGAUCAAGAGCUACUCAUGGAGAGGAGGGAGCAGGAUCAGGUGUUUGGAUUGCUGCUGACACUAGAUCCUCCGUUCAAUGAUGUGAUCAAGCACAUGUUGAGGAUGCCGAGUCUUCCAUCUAUGGAGGAAGUGUGUGCGCAGAUUCAGAAGGAAGAGGGGUCACUUGGUAUGUUUGGAGGGAAAGGAGACAUGGCUCUGUCCAACAAGGCUGAAGCAAUCCAAGCACACAAGGCUGCUUACCGUGGAGAGGAAAGGAAGUUCAGUGGAAACUGUGACCAUUGCACGAAGCCGGGACACAAGAGGAGUCAGUGCUGGAUCCUACACCCCCAUUUGAAGCCGGCCAAGUUCAACAAGGAGAGAGAGGGAAGAGCUCACCUUUCUGCAGAGACAAGUGAAGCUGGCGCAUCAGGAGCUGGCUCAUCUGGUCUUGCGGGUGAAAGUGAAGGAAGAGCCUUAACCUCUCACCACCAAGGAGCUGUGAAGAACAUGGAUCAUGAGGUGAUCAAGAAGUCAGACAUUGAUGCCUUGAUCAAAGCCCUUAAAGAGUCUGGUAAAGCCCUUGGUUAUUCCUAUACUGCUCAUGUGUUGCCUAGAACUUGUGAUAGCUUGCUAGGAAACUUUGAUAGAAUGGGAAAUGAACCAGAUAGAUAUACAACCUUUGCUGCUGAUAGGAUGUCUAGAAAUGAAUUCACAUUGCUUGAUCUCAUUGAUAAACUGAAACUGGUAAAAGAAUCACCUAGGAAUCAUAUUGCUCAAGGAAUAAAACCGUUGAUUAUUGAUUCAGGUGCUUCACAUCAUAUGAUAAGUGAUGAUAGCCUUAUAAAGAACAUAGAACCGGCUCAUGGACAUGUAAUGAUUGCAAAUGGUGAUAGAAUUCCUAUUAGAGGAGUAGGAGACUUGAAACUGUUUAAUAAGGAUUCUAAAGCUUUGUACAUGCCUGAGUUUACUUCUAAUCUAUUAUCUGUUAAGAGGUGUACCAAUGAUCUUCAAUGCAAUGUUAUUUUCAGUCCUAAUGAUGUGAAAUUUCAGGAUAUUGAAAGCAGUAAGUUGAUUGGGCAAGGAGUAACCAAAGGAGACCUUUAUUUACUUGAAGACCUUUCUAUCAUUUCUAGUUCUAGUUGCUUGUUGAGUUCCGUUUUAGGUAGAGGUGCAUUGUGGCAUUCUAGGCUAGGACAUCCACAUGUUAGAGCCUUAAGCUUAAUGUUACCAGGUGUCAUGUUUAAAAAUAAUGAAUGUGAAGCUUGUAUUUUGGGAAAACAUUGUAAGACUGUGUUCAAGAGAUCUACUACUAUCUAUGAUAAAUGCUUUGAUCUUGUUCAUUCUGAUGUAUGGACUGCUCCAUGCUUAUCUAGGGACAAUUACAAAUACUUUGUCACAUUCAUAGAUGAAAAAUCCAAAUACACCUGGAUAACACUAAUUAAAACAAAGGAUAGGGUUCUAGAUGCAUUUAGAAACUUUCAAUCAUAUGUUUCUAACCAGUAUAAUGCCAAGAUUAAGAUUUUCAGGUCUGAUAAUGGUGGAGAGUAUACUGGCCAUGCAUUCAAGAACCAUCUAGCUCAACAUGGGAUACUUCACCAAACGAGUUGCCCUUAUACACCUCAACAAAAUGGAGUGGCUGAGAGAAAGAACAGACAUCUUAUGGAAGUGGCUAGAUCAAUGAUGUUCCAGAUGAGAGUGCCAAAGAGAUUCUGGAGUGAUGCUGUGAUCACGGCUUGCUACCUAAUCAAUAGGAUUCCAACCAAGAUCCUGGAAGACAAAGCUCCUUAUGAAGUUCUCAACAACAGCAAGCCAGUCCUAGAUCACCUAAGAGUGUUUGGGUGUGUAAGCUAUGUUCUUAUCCCGGGAGAGAUAAGAAACAAGCUGGAAGCAAAGAGUAUCAAAGCUGUGAUGAUAGGAUACUCAACCACACAGAAGGGAUACAAGUGCUUUGUUCCUGAGUCAAGGAGAGUUCUUGUAUCAAGAGAUGUCAAGUUCUUUGAAGAGAAGAGCUACUAUGAAGAUAAAGAUUGGAAAGAGCUGGAGGAUCUUUCACAACCUUCAGAUAGAGCUACAAGCUUGAGACAGAUACUAGAAGGUCUUGGAAUUGGAAUGUCCCAGGAGUCGACAGAGAAUCAGUCAUCUGAAAGACAAGAAGCUGAAGAACCAUCUCACCUUGAUCAUGAGGGAGGGAAUGGAAUUGAGCCGGAUGAGAAUCAAGAUUUUGCGGAUCAUCCUGAUCAAGGUGGAGCUGAACCAAGUAAUGAAGAGCUUAAUGAGUUACCAGAACAAGGAGAAGUGGAAGCAACUGAAGUAGAAGCACCAGAGCAAGCACCAGCUGAGGUACCAUUGAGGAGAAGCACACGGCUGAAGAGAGAUGCUUCCAACUGGGUAAACACGAGAGUGUACUACAAUGCCCAGGCUGUGGAGCAUCCUUCUCAAGCUGUGUGUUCAUUUGCCUGUUAUCCAAAGGAGCAUUGCGCAUUCAUGAUGAGCCUAGAUGAAAGUAGUGUACCAAGAUCAUAUGAAGAGGCAAUGCUACAUCAAGAUUGGAAGGAAUCUGUUGGAGAUGAGGCAAAUGCCAUGAUAAAGAAUGACACUUGGUUUGAAAGUGAGUUGCCAAAAGGAAAGAAGGCAGUAACCAGCAAGUGGAUAUUCACCAUUAAGUAUCUACCUGAUGGAACCAUUGACAGAAAGAAGACAAGACUGGUGGCUAGAGGAUACACUCAAACAUAUGGGGAAGACUACAUUGAUACCUUUGCCCCUGUUGCUAAGCUACAUACAAUAAGAAUUGUAUUGUCUCUUGCUGUGAACCUUGAGUGGGAGCUUUGGCAGAUGGAUGUGAAGAAUGCAUUUCUUCAGGGAGAACUAGAAGAUGAAGUGUACAUGCAUCCACCACCGGGUCUUGAACAUCUUGUGAAACCAGGGAAUGUAUUGAGACUCAAGAAGGCAAUCUAUGGGUUGAAGCAAUCACCUAGAGCAUGGUACAACAAGCUGAGUACUACUCUGAAUGGCCGUGGGUUCAAGAAGUCAGAGUUGGAUCACACCCUCUUCACCCUCACUACACCUUCAGGUAUCAUCUGUCUACUCGUAUAUGUUGAUGACAUUAUCAUAACAGGUAGUGAUAAGGCUGGUAUAAAAGCCACAAAGGAGUUUUUGAAAUCUGUGUUUGAAAUCAAGGACUUAGGGGAAAUGAAAUACUUCCUUGGAAUUGAGUUGUGUAGAUCUAAGGAAGGAUUGUUCAUUUCCCAAAGGAAGUAUACACUUGAUCUUUUGAAAGAUGCAGGUAUACAAGGAGACAAGACAGCAAAGAUGCCUCUUGAAGAUGGAUACAAGGUUCCACGUGAGGGGGAGGUUGAAGAUAGCAAGGCCUUUCAUGAUCCAAAGCUGUACAGGAAGCUAGUAGGGAAGCUCAUCUACCUUACAAUCACACGACCAGACAUAUGCUUUGCGGUGAACCAAGUGAGCCAGCAUAUGCAAGUCCCAAAUGAUCAUCACUGGCGAAUGGUGGAGAGACUUCUCUUGUAUCUGAAUGGGACGUCAAGCCUUGGAGUGUGGAUGGGAUGCAACAAGAGCACUGAAGUGGUGGGAUACUGUGAUGCGGAUUGGGCUGGAGAUAGAGCAGACAGGAGAUCAACCACCGGCUAUUGUACAUUCAUUGGAGGCAACUUGGUGACUUGGAAGAGUAAGAAGCAGAAGGUGGUGUCUUGUUCAAGCGCUGAAGCUGAGUAUAGAGCAAUGCUGAAGCUUACCAAUGAGUUGGUAUGGAUCAAAGGAAUCUUGAAGCACUUGGAGAUAGAGCAGGGAACUCCAAUGACUAUGCAUUGUGAUAAUCAAGCGGCUAUACACAUUGCGACCAACUCAGUCUUCCAUGAGAGAACCAAGCACAUUGAAGUUGAUUGUCACAAGGUGAGGCAGAUGAUUGUCUUGGGAGUGAUCUUGCCAUGCUACACAAGGAGUGAGGAUCAACUUGCGGAUGUGUUCACCAAGGCCGCAAGACAAAAGACUAUGGAGUCCAUUCAUACCAGAUUGGGGCUCAUAGAUCUUUCCCCAAGGAGCUGAUCCCCUUUGCCAUGAGGUCUUCACUCUUUUUCCCUCAUCAAGGUUUUGUCCCAAUGGGUUUUCCUUGGUGAGGUUUUUAAUGAGGAAGAUCUCAUGGUGGUUCCAAGCUUAACUAAGUUACUAAGUUAAGCUUGAGGGGGAGUGUUGAAAUGAGUUGAUCAAUAUGUGAGAAGAUGGCUUAGGGAGUUGAGGAUGUGAGAAUGUGGAGGCAAAGGGAAGGAAGGUUAGGGAUCGACCAGGCCGUACAAGAGGCCGUACUGGCCGUACCGUCCGUACUGUCCGGGUCGAUCCAUAACUCGACCAAGAAGAGAAGUUACCCGGGUAAGAGAGGUAAACGGCCAAAGGGGUUUUACCUUAGAAGAUAUGACUGUUUGGAUGGAUAGAGUGACCGCGGCUUAUCCUGACAGUCUGGCACAGGCUGUAAAGGCAAAAGGAGUCUCAACCAAAGAUGCCUUAAGCGUGUGAUCUUCCCCAUUGGUUUACAUUCAAAUUAAAGCAACCUUAUCCUUGACCUCACAUGCUUAGUGCUUCUGAAUACCCUAAUGUCUCUCUCUAUAUAUUGUAAACUCUGUCUUGAUUAAUGAUUAACACGAGUUCAUCAUAUUCUCUCUCUAGUUCAUCAUGUUUCUCUUCUACAUUUCAUAAAUCAUCUCAUCUCACUUUAAUCUUUCUCUAAAUCUCUCAAUACCUGUUCAACUCUCUAAAAUCAUAUGGUAUCAGAGCCAGGUUGGCUUUGGUAUUGAGAUUUAGAGUGUUCUUCAGCUUCAGUUCAUACUCUUUCAUACUUUCUUUUCGGUUCUAACAAAGCAAGAUGGAGGGAAACUACAAGGUCAUUACGGUUCCUGUUGCGUUGAAGGGUGGUAGUAACUACCUGUUGUGGUCAAGGCUGGUGAAGACAGCCAUUGGGAGGCUAGGGCUGUGGAGUCACAUCACGGAUGAUGCAACCAAGCCAGUGGCUAAAGACGGAGAAGGAGAUGAAGGUGUGGGAGAUCAAGUUGCUGCUGCCGAGAAGAAGUGGAUUCAAGAAGACUUGAUGGUGCUUUCAGUACUACAAGGGUCCCUUGAAGAGCAUCUCUUGGAGGCCUACAGCUACUGCGAGACUCCAAAACACCUGUGGGAGGUACUCCAGAAGAUAUUUGGGAACGUUACCAAUCUGAACCGCGUGUAUGAGAUUAAGAAGGCUAUCAACACACUGGUUCAAGAUGGAGAAGAGUUCACCAAGCAUUUGGGCAAGUAUAGAUCCUUGUGGUCUGAGCUUGAAUCAUUGAGGCCAAGCACCGCGGAUCAAGAGCUACUCAUGGAGAGGAGGGAGCAGGAUCAGGUGUUUGGAUUGCUGCUGACACUAGAUCCUCCGUUCAAUGAUGUGAUCAAGCACAUGUUGAGGAUGCCGAGUCUUCCAUCUAUGGAGGAAGUGUGUGCGCAGAUUCAGAAGGAAGAGGGGUCACUUGGUAUGUUUGGAGGGAAAGGAGACAUGGCUCUGUCCAACAAGGCUGAAGCAAUCCAAGCACACAAGGCUGCUUACCGUGGAGAGGAAAGGAAGUUCAGUGGAAACUGUGACCAUUGCACGAAGCCGGGACACAAGAGGAGUCAGUGCUGGAUCCUACACCCCCAUUUGAAGCCGGCCAAGUUCAACAAGGAGAGAGAGGGAAGAGCUCACCUUUCUGCAGAGACAAGUGAAGCUGGCGCAUCAGGAGCUGGCUCAUCUGGUCUUGCGGGUGAAAGUGAAGGAAGAGCCUUAACCUCUCACCACCAAGGAGCUGUGAAGAACAUGGAUCAUGAGGUGAUCAAGAAGUCAGACAUUGAUGCCUUGAUCAAAGCCCUUAAAGAGUCUGGUAAAGCCCUUGGUUAUUCCUAUACUGCUCAUGUGUUGCCUAGAACUUGUGAUAGCUUGCUAGGAAACUUUGAUAGAAUGGGAAAUGAACCAGAUAGAUAUACAACCUUUGCUGCUGAUAGGAUGUCUAGAAAUGAAUUCACAUUGCUUGAUCUCAUUGAUAAACUGAAACUGGUAAAAGAAUCACCUAGGAAUCAUAUUGCUCAAGGAAUAAAACCGUUGAUUAUUGAUUCAGGUGCUUCACAUCAUAUGAUAAGUGAUGAUAGCCUUAUAAAGAACAUAGAACCGGCUCAUGGACAUGUAAUGAUUGCAAAUGGUGAUAGAAUUCCUAUUAGAGGAGUAGGAGACUUGAAACUGUUUAAUAAGGAUUCUAAAGCUUUGUACAUGCCUGAGUUUACUUCUAAUCUAUUAUCUGUUAAGAGGUGUACCAAUGAUCUUCAAUGCAAUGUUAUUUUCAGUCCUAAUGAUGUGAAAUUUCAGGAUAUUGAAAGCAGUAAGUUGAUUGGGCAAGGAGUAACCAAAGGAGACCUUUAUUUACUUGAAGACCUUUCUAUCAUUUCUAGUUCUAGUUGCUUGUUGAGUUCCGUUUUAGGUAGAGGUGCAUUGUGGCAUUCUAGGCUAGGACAUCCACAUGUUAGAGCCUUAAGCUUAAUGUUACCAGGUGUCAUGUUUAAAAAUAAUGAAUGUGAAGCUUGUAUUUUGGGAAAACAUUGUAAGACUGUGUUCAAGAGAUCUACUACUAUCUAUGAUAAAUGCUUUGAUCUUGUUCAUUCUGAUGUAUGGACUGCUCCAUGCUUAUCUAGGGACAAUUACAAAUACUUUGUCACAUUCAUAGAUGAAAAAUCCAAAUACACCUGGAUAACACUAAUUAAAACAAAGGAUAGGGUUCUAGAUGCAUUUAGAAACUUUCAAUCAUAUGUUUCUAACCAGUAUAAUGCCAAGAUUAAGAUUUUCAGGUCUGAUAAUGGUGGAGAGUAUACUGGCCAUGCAUUCAAGAACCAUCUAGCUCAACAUGGGAUACUUCACCAAACGAGUUGCCCUUAUACACCUCAACAAAAUGGAGUGGCUGAGAGAAAGAACAGACAUCUUAUGGAAGUGGCUAGAUCAAUGAUGUUCCAGAUGAGAGUGCCAAAGAGAUUCUGGAGUGAUGCUGUGAUCACGGCUUGCUACCUAAUCAAUAGGAUUCCAACCAAGAUCCUGGAAGACAAAGCUCCUUAUGAAGUUCUCAACAACAGCAAGCCAGUCCUAGAUCACCUAAGAGUGUUUGGGUGUGUAAGCUAUGUUCUUAUCCCGGGAGAGAUAAGAAACAAGCUGGAAGCAAAGAGUAUCAAAGCUGUGAUGAUAGGAUACUCAACCACACAGAAGGGAUACAAGUGCUUUGUUCCUGAGUCAAGGAGAGUUCUUGUAUCAAGAGAUGUCAAGUUCUUUGAAGAGAAGAGCUACUAUGAAGAUAAAGAUUGGAAAGAGCUGGAGGAUCUUUCACAACCUUCAGAUAGAGCUACAAGCUUGAGACAGAUACUAGAAGGUCUUGGAAUUGGAAUGUCCCAGGAGUCGACAGAGAAUCAGUCAUCUGAAAGACAAGAAGCUGAAGAACCAUCUCACCUUGAUCAUGAGGGAGGGAAUGGAAUUGAGCCGGAUGAGAAUCAAGAUUUUGCGGAUCAUCCUGAUCAAGGUGGAGCUGAACCAAGUAAUGAAGAGCUUAAUGAGUUACCAGAACAAGGAGAAGUGGAAGCAACUGAAGUAGAAGCACCAGAGCAAGCACCAGCUGAGGUACCAUUGAGGAGAAGCACACGGCUGAAGAGAGAUGCUUCCAACUGGGUAAACACGAGAGUGUACUACAAUGCCCAGGCUGUGGAGCAUCCUUCUCAAGCUGUGUGUUCAUUUGCCUGUUAUCCAAAGGAGCAUUGCGCAUUCAUGAUGAGCCUAGAUGAAAGUAGUGUACCAAGAUCAUAUGAAGAGGCAAUGCUACAUCAAGAUUGGAAGGAAUCUGUUGGAGAUGAGGCAAAUGCCAUGAUAAAGAAUGACACUUGGUUUGAAAGUGAGUUGCCAAAAGGAAAGAAGGCAGUAACCAGCAAGUGGAUAUUCACCAUUAAGUAUCUACCUGAUGGAACCAUUGACAGAAAGAAGACAAGACUGGUGGCUAGAGGAUACACUCAAACAUAUGGGGAAGACUACAUUGAUACCUUUGCCCCUGUUGCUAAGCUACAUACAAUAAGAAUUGUAUUGUCUCUUGCUGUGAACCUUGAGUGGGAGCUUUGGCAGAUGGAUGUGAAGAAUGCAUUUCUUCAGGGAGAACUAGAAGAUGAAGUGUACAUGCAUCCACCACCGGGUCUUGAACAUCUUGUGAAACCAGGGAAUGUAUUGAGACUCAAGAAGGCAAUCUAUGGGUUGAAGCAAUCACCUAGAGCAUGGUACAACAAGCUGAGUACUACUCUGAAUGGCCGUGGGUUCAAGAAGUCAGAGUUGGAUCACACCCUCUUCACCCUCACUACACCUUCAGGUAUCAUCUGUCUACUCGUAUAUGUUGAUGACAUUAUCAUAACAGGUAGUGAUAAGGCUGGUAUAAAAGCCACAAAGGAGUUUUUGAAAUCUGUGUUUGAAAUCAAGGACUUAGGGGAAAUGAAAUACUUCCUUGGAAUUGAGUUGUGUAGAUCUAAGGAAGGAUUGUUCAUUUCCCAAAGGAAGUAUACACUUGAUCUUUUGAAAGAUGCAGGUAUACAAGGAGACAAGACAGCAAAGAUGCCUCUUGAAGAUGGAUACAAGGUUCCACGUGAGGGGGAGGUUGAAGAUAGCAAGGCCUUUCAUGAUCCAAAGCUGUACAGGAAGCUAGUAGGGAAGCUCAUCUACCUUACAAUCACACGACCAGACAUAUGCUUUGCGGUGAACCAAGUGAGCCAGCAUAUGCAAGUCCCAAAUGAUCAUCACUGGCGAAUGGUGGAGAGACUUCUCUUGUAUCUGAAUGGGACGUCAAGCCUUGGAGUGUGGAUGGGAUGCAACAAGAGCACUGAAGUGGUGGGAUACUGUGAUGCGGAUUGGGCUGGAGAUAGAGCAGACAGGAGAUCAACCACCGGCUAUUGUACAUUCAUUGGAGGCAACUUGGUGACUUGGAAGAGUAAGAAGCAGAAGGUGGUGUCUUGUUCAAGCGCUGAAGCUGAGUAUAGAGCAAUGCUGAAGCUUACCAAUGAGUUGGUAUGGAUCAAAGGAAUCUUGAAGCACUUGGAGAUAGAGCAGGGAACUCCAAUGACUAUGCAUUGUGAUAAUCAAGCGGCUAUACACAUUGCGACCAACUCAGUCUUCCAUGAGAGAACCAAGCACAUUGAAGUUGAUUGUCACAAGGUGAGGCAGAUGAUUGUCUUGGGAGUGAUCUUGCCAUGCUACACAAGGAGUGAGGAUCAACUUGCGGAUGUGUUCACCAAGGCCGCAAGACAAAAGACUAUGGAGUCCAUUCAUACCAGAUUGGGGCUCAUAGAUCUUUCCCCAAGGAGCUGAUCCCCUUUUGCCAUGAGGUCUUCACUCUUUUUCCCUCAUCAAGGUUUUGUCCCAAUGGGUUUUCCUUGGUGAGGUUUUUAAUGAGGAAGAUCUCAUGGUGGUUCCAAGCUUAACUAAGUUACUAAGUUAAGCUUGAGGGGGAGUGUUAAAAUGAGCUGUUCAGUAUAUGGGGAGAUGGCUUAAGGAGUUGAGGAUGUGAGAAUGUGAAGGCAAAGGGAAGGAAGGUUAGGGAUCGACCAGGCCGUACAAGAGGCCGUACCGGCCGUACCGUCCGUACUGUCCGGGUCGAUCCAUAACUCGACCAAGAGGAAAGUUACCCGGGUGAAAGGGUUAAACGGCCAAAGGGGUUUUACCUUAGGAGAUAUGACCGUUUGGAUGGAUAGAGUGACCGCGGCUUAUCCUGACAGUCUGGCACAGGCUGUAAAGGCAAAAGGAGUCUCCCCAAAAGAUGCCAUAAGCGUGUGACCUUCCUCAUUGGUUUACAUUUGAAUUAAAGCAACCUUAUCCUUGACCACACAUGCUUAGAGCUUCUGAAUACCCUAAUGUCUCUCUCUAUAUAUUGUAAACUCUGUCUUGAUUAAUGAUUAACACGAGUUUAUCAGAUUCUCUCUCUAGUUCAUCAUGUUUCUCUUCUACAUCUCAUAAAUCAUCUCAUCUCACUUUAAUCUUUCUCUAAAUCUCUCAAUACCUGUUCAACUCUCUAAAAUCAUACUCACAAAGUGGUUCAUCCUGGUUUGAUUGGAACGACGAAGAAGCUGUGCUAUUCCCAAACUGGGAAACUGGAAUAACCUGAUUUAAAAGUGGGAUAACUUCUUCUAGCCAACUCCUAUGAGAUUUAUUCAACUUCCUGGUGAUUCUCCACCACUUUAUGUAUCCAAAUCAAGCUUCUCACAAAGUGAUUCAUCCCGGUUUGAUUGGAACGACGAAGAAGCUGUCCAAUUCCCAAACUGGGAAACAGGAAGCACCUGAUUUGAAAGUGGAUUGGGAGGCUAGGGCUGUGGAGUCACAUCACGGAUGAUGCAACCAAGCCAGUGGCUAAAGACGGAGAAGGAGAUGAAGGUGUGGGAGAUCAAGUUGCUGCUGCCGAGAAGAAGUGGAUUCAAGAAGACUUGAUGGUGCUUUCAGUGCUACAAGGGUCCCUUGAAGAGCAUCUCUUGGAGGCCUACAGCUACUGCGAGACUCCAAAACACCUGUGGGAGGUACUCCAGAAGACAUUUGGGAACGUUACCAAUCUGAACCGCGUGUAUGAGAUUAAGAAGGCCAUCAACACAUUGGUUCAAGAUGGAGAAGAGUUCACCAAGCAUUUGGGCAAGUAUAGAUCCUUGUGGUCUGAGCUUGAAUCAUUGAGGCCAAGCACCGCAGAUCAAGAGCUACUCAUGGAGAGGAGGGAGCAGGAUCAGGUGUGUGGAUUGCUGCUGACCCUAGAUCCUCCAUUCAAUGAUGUGAUCAAGCACAUGUUGAGGAUGCCGAGUCUUCCAUCUAUGGAGGAAGUGUGUGCGCAGAUUCAGAAGGAAGAGGGGUCACUUGGUAUGUUUGGAGGGAAAGGAGACAUGGCUCUGUCCAACAAGGCGGAAGCAAUCCAAGCACACAAGGCUGCUUACCGUGGAGAGGAAAGGAAGUUCAGUGGAAACUGUGACCAUUGCAAGAAGCCGGGACACAAGAGGAGUCAGUGCUGGAUCCUACACCCCCAUUUGAAGCCGGCCAAGUUCAACAAGGAGAGAGAGGGAAGAGCUCACCUUUCUGCAGAGACAAGUGAAGCUGGCGCAUCAGGAGCUGGCUCAUCUGGUAUUGCGGGUGAAAGUGAAGGAAGAGCCUUAACCUCUCACCACCAAGGAGCUGUGAAGAACAUGGAUCAUGAGGUGAUCAAGAAGUCAGACAUUGAUGCCUUGAUCAAAGCCCUUAAAGAGUCUGGUAAAGCCCUUGGUUAUUCCUAUACUGCUCAUGUGUUGCCUAGAACUUGUGAUAGCUUGCUAGGAAACUUUGAUAGAAUGGGAAAUGAACCAGAUAGAUAUACAACCUUUGCUGCUGAUAGGAUGUCUAGAAAUGAGUCCACAUUGCUUGAUCUCAUUGAUAAACUGAAACUGGUAAAAGAAUCACCUAGGAAUCAUAUUGCUCAAGGAAUAAAACCAUUGAUUAUUGAUUCAGGUGCUUCACAUCAUAUGAUAAGUGAUGAUAGCCUUAUAAAGAACAUAGAACCGGCUCAUGGACAUGUAAUGAUUGCAAAUGGUGAUAGAAUUCCUAUUAGAGGAGUAGGAGACUUGAAACUGUUUAAUAAGGAUUCUAAAGCUUUGUACAUGCCUGAGUUUACUUCUAAUCUAUUAUCUGUUAAGAGGUGUACCAAUGAUCUUCAAUGCAAUGUUAUUUUCAGUCCUAAUGAUGUGAAAUUUCAGGAUAUUGAAAGCAGUAAGUUGAUUGGGCAAGGAGUAACCAAAGGAGACCUUUAUUUACUUGAAGACCUUUCUAUCAUUUCUAGUUCUAGUUGCUUGUUGAGUUCCGUUUUAAGUAGAGGUGCAUUGUGGCAUUCUAGGCUAGGACAUCCACAUGUUAGAGCCUUAAGCUUAAUGUUACCAGGUGUCAUAUUUAAAAAUAAUGAGUGUGAAGCUUGUAUUUUGGGAAAACAUUGUAAGACUGUGUUCAAGAGAUCUACUACUAUCUAUGAUAAAUGCUUUGAUCUUGUUCAUUCUGAUGUAUGGACUGCUCCAUGCUUAUCUAGGGACAAUUACAAAUACUUUGUCACAUUCAUAGAUGAGAAAUCCAAAUACACCUGGAUAACACUAAUUAAAACAAAGGAUAGGGUUCUAGAUGCAUUUAGAAACUUUCAAUCAUAUGUUUCUAACCAGUAUAAUGCCAAGAUUAAGAUUUUCAGGUCUGAUAAUGGUGGAGAGUAUACUGGCCAUGCAUUCAAGAACCAUCUAGCUCAACAUGGGAUACUUCACCAAACGAGUUGCCCUUAUACACCUCAACAAAAUGGAGUGGCUGAGAGAAAGAACAGACAUCUUAUGGAAGUGGCUAGAUCAAUGAUGUUCCAGAUGAGAGUGCCAAAGAGAUUCUGGAGUGAUGCUGUGAUCACGGCUUGCUACCUAAUCAAUAGGAUUCCAACCAAGAUCCUGGAAGAUAAAGCUCCUUAUGAAGUUCUCAACAACAGCAAGCCAGUCCUAGAUCACCUAAGAGUGUUUGGGUGUGUAAGCUAUGUUCUUAUCCCGGGAGAGAUGAGAAACAAGCUGGAAGCAAAGAGUAUCAAAGCUAUGAUGAUAGGAUACUCAACCACACAGAAGGGAUACAAGUGCUUUGUUCCUGAGUCAAGGAGAGUUCUUGUAUCAAGAGAUGUCAAGUUCUUUGAAGAGAAGAGCUACUAUGAAGAUAAAGAUUGGAAAGAGCUGGAGGAUCUUUCACAACCGUCAGAUAGAGCUACAAGCUUGAGACAGAUACUAGAAGGUCUUGGAAUUGGAAUGUCCCAGGAGUCGACAGAGAAUCAGUCAUCUGAAAGACAAGAAGCUGAAGAACCAUCUCACCUUGAUCAUGAGGGAGGGAAUGGAAUUGAGCCGGAUGAGAAUCAAGAUUUUGCGGAUCAUCCUGAUCAAGGUGGAGCUGAACCAAGUAAUGAAGAGCUUAAUGAGUUACCAGAACAAGGAGAAGUGGAAGCAACUGAAGUAGAAGCACCAGAGCAAGCACCAGCUGAGGUACCAUUGAGGAGAAGCACACGGCUGAAGAGAUAUGCUUCCAACUGGGUAAACACGAGAGUGUACUACAAUGCCCAGGCUGUGGAGCAUCCUUCUCAAGCUGUGUGCUCAUUUGCCUGUUAUCCAAAGGAGCAUUGCGCAUUCAUGAUGAGCCUAGAUGAAAGUAGUGUACCAAGAUCAUAUGAAGAGGCAAUGCUACAUCAAGAUUGGAAGGAAUCUGUUGGAGAUGAGGCAAAUGCCAUGAUAAAGAAUGACACUUGGUUUGAAAGUGAGUUGCCAAAAGGAAAGAAGGCAGUAACCAGCAAGUGGAUAUUCACCAUUAAGUAUCUACCUGAUGGAACCAUUGACAGAAAGAAGACAAGACUGGUGGCUAGAGGAUACACUCAAACAUAUGGGGAAGACUACAUUGAUACCUUUGCCCCUGUUGCCAAGCUACAUACAAUAAGAAUUGUAUUGUCUCUUGCUGUGAACCUUGAGUGGGAGCUUUGGCAGAUGGAUGUGAAGAAUGCAUUUCUUCAGGGAGAACUAGAAGAUGAAGUGUACAUGCAUCCACCACCGGGUCUUGAACAUCUUGUGAAACCAGGGAAUGUAUUGAGACUCAAGAAGGCAAUCUAUGGGUUGAAGCAAUCACCUAGAGCAUGGUACAACAAGCUGAGUACUACUCUGAAUGGCGUGGGUUCAAGAAGUCAGAGUUGGAUCACACCCUCUUCACUCUCACUACACCUUCAGGUAUCAUCUGUCUACUCGUAUAUGUUGAUGACAUUAUCAUAACAGGUAGUGAUAAGGCUGGUAUAAAAGCCACAAAGGAGUUUUUGAAAUCUGUGUUUGAAAUCAAAGACUUAGGGGAAAUGAAAUACUUCCUUGGAAUUGAGUUGUGUAGAUCUAAGGAAGGAUUGUUCAUUUCCCAAAGGAAGUAUACACUUGAUCUUUUGAAAGAUGCAGGUAUACAAGGAGACAAGACAGCAAAGAUGCCUCUUGAAGAUGGAUACAAGGUUCCACGUGAGGGGGAGGUUGAAGAUAGCAAGGCCUUUCAUGAUCCAAAGCUGUACAGGAAGCUAGUAGGGAAGCUCAUCUACCUUACAAUCACACGACCAGACAUAUGCUUUGCGGUGAACCAAGUGAGCCAGCAUAUGCAAGUCCCAAAGGAUCAUCACUGGCGAAUGGUGGAGAGACUUCUCUUGUAUCUGAAUGGGACGUCAAGCCUUGGAGUGUGGAUGGGAUGCAACAAGAGCACUGAAGUGGUGGGAUACUGUGAUGCGGAUUGGGCUGGAGAUAGAGCAGACAGGAGAUCAACCACCGGCUAUUGUACAUUCAUUGGAGGCAACUUGGUGACUUGGAAGAGUAAGAAGCAGAAGGUGGUGUCUUGUUCAAGCGCUGAAGCUGAGUAUAGAGCAAUGCUGAAGCUUACCAAUGAGUUGGUAUGGAUCAAAGGAAUCUUGAAGCACUUGGAGAUAGAGCAGGGAACUCCAAUGACUAUGCAUUGUGAUAAUCAAGCGGCUAUACACAUUGCGACCAACUCAGUCUUCCAUGAGAGAACCAAGCACAUUGAAGUUGAUUGUCACAAGGUGAGGCAGAUGAUUGUCUUGGGAGUGAUCUUGCCAUGCUACACAAGGAGUGAGGAUCAACUUGCGGAUGUGUUCACCAAGGCCGCAAGACAAAAGACUAUGGAGUCCAUUCAUACCAGAUUGGGGCUCAUAGAUCUUUCCCCAAGGAGCUGAUCCCCUUUUGCCAUGAGGUCUUCACUCUUUUUCCCUCAUCAAGGUUUUGUCCCAAUGGGUUUUCCUUGGUGAGGUUUUUAAUGAGGAAGAUCUCAUGGUGGUUCCAAGCUUAACUAAGUUACUAAGUUAAGCUUGAGGGGGAGUGUUAAAAUGAGCUGUUCAGUAUAUGGGGAGAUGGCUUAAGGAGUUGAGGAUGUGAGAAUGUGNNNNNNNNNNNNNNNNNNNNNNNNNNNNNNNNNNNNNNNNNNNNNNNNNNNNNNNNNNNNNNNNNNNNNNNNNNNNNNNNNNNNNNNNNNNNNNNNNNNNNNNNNNNNNNNNNNNNNNNNNNNNNNNNNNNNNNNNNNNNNNNNNNNNNNNNNNNNNNNNNNNNNNNNNNNNNNNNNNNNNNNNNNNNNNNNNNNNNNNNNNNNNNNNNNNNNNNNNNNNNNNNNNNNNNNNNNNNNNNNNNNNNNNNNNNNNNNNNNNNNNNNNNNNNNNNNNNNNNNNNNNNNNNNNNNNNNNNNNNNNNNNNNNNNNNNNNNNNNNNNNNNNNNNNNNNNNNNNNNNNNNNNNNNNNNNNNNNNNNNNNNNNNNNNNNNNNNNNNNNNNNNNNNNNNNNNNNNNNNNNNNNNNNNNNNNNNNNNNNNNNNNNNNNNNNNNNNNNNNNNNNNNNNNNNNNNNNNNNNNNNNNNNNNNNNNNNNNNNNNNNNNNNNNNNNNNNNNNNNNNNNNNNNNNNNNNNNNNNNNNNNNNNNNNNNNNNNNNNNNNNNNNNNNNNNNNNNNNNNNNNNNNNNNNNNNNNNNNNNNNNNNNNNNNNNNUAAGUUACUCGGGUAACUUCUUGUAACCGCGGUCGAGGUUUCACUUGUCUGGAUGUGUACGGACCGUACGGCCUUGUACGGCCUUGUACGGUCAGGCCAGUGUGAACCUCUCCCAUCACACCAAUGCUUAACAUACCCUCUUCAGUCUUCACCCCUUAGUACUUCACACUUGUAUAUUCAACUCUUCUCAACACUCCCCCUCAAGCUUAGCUUUGUGAAGUCUAAGCUUGGACACUAUGAGAUCUUCCUCAUUAAAAACCUCAUCAAAGAAAACCCAUUGGGACAAAACUUUGAUGAGGGAAAAAGAGUAAAGACCUCACAGUAAGGGGAUCAGCUCUUGGCUGAGAGAUCAAUGAGUCCUAACCUGAUGUAGAUGGACUCCAUUGUCUUCAUCCUUGCGGCUUUAGUAAACACAUCAGCCAACUGAUCUUCACUUCUUGUAUAGCAUGGCAGAAUCACUCCCAAGACUAUCAUCUGCCUCACCUUGUGACAAUCUACUUCAAUAUGCUUGGUUCUCUCAUGAAACACUGAGUUAGAGGCAAUGUGGAUUGCUGCCUGGUUGUCACAAUGCAUUGUCAUAGGCGCCGCUUGCUCAAUCUCAAUGUGCUUCAAGAUCCCCUUGAUCCACACUAACUCAUUGGUAAGCUUCAGCAUUGCCCUAUACUCAGCUUCAGCACUUGAGCAGGAGACUACUUUCUGCUUCUUGCUCUUCCAAGUCACAAGGUUCCCUCCAAUGAAGGUGCAGUAACCAGUUGUAGAUCUUCUGUCUGCUCUAUCUCCAGCCCAAUCCGCAUCACAGUAGCCUACUACUUCUGUACUCCCAUUGCAUCCCAUCCAAACUCCUUGGCCUGGUGAUCCGUUGAGAUAGCUAAGCACUCUGUCCACCAUUCUCCAAUGGUGAUCCUUUGGAGCUUGCAUAUGUUGACUAACCUGAUUCACAGCAAAGCAGAUAUCAGGUCGUGUAAUUGUUAAGUAGAUUAGCUUACCCACUAGCUUCCUAUAAAGCUUAGGGUCGUGGAAUAGCUUGCUGUCUUCAAGCUCCCCCUCUCUUGGUACUUUGUACCCAUCCUCCAUUGGCAUCUUAGCAGUUUGUCCUCCAAGUUUACCUGCAUCUUUCAAAAGAUCAAGUGUAUACUUCCUUUGGGACAUGAAUAAACCUUCCUUGGAUCUACAAAUCUCAAUUCCAAGAAAGUAUUUCAUUUCCCCUUAAUCCUUGAUUUCAAAUACAGAUUUAAGGUAGUCUUUGGUCUCUUGUAUUCCAACCUCAUCACUUCCAGUAAUGAUAAUGUCAUCCACAUAGACCAAGAGACAGAUGAUACCUGAUUGUGUGACUAGAGUGAACAGCGUGUGAUCCAAUUCUGACUUCCGGAAGCCUCUUCCAUUCAAGGUUGUGCUCAGCUUAUGAUACCAUGCUCUAGGAGAUUGCUUCAAUCCAUAGAUGGCUUUCUUAAGUCUCAACACAUUUCCGGGCUUCACCAUGCUCUCUAGUCCCGGAGGAGGAUGCAUGUAUACUUCAUCUUCAAGCUCCCCUUGGAGGAAUGCAUUCUUCACAUCCAUCUGCCAUAAGCCCCAUCCAAGGUUUGUUGCAAUGGAUAAUAUGAUUCUGAUUGUGUGAAGUUUAGCCACUGGUGCGAAGGUAUCAAUAUAAUCUUCUCCAUAUGUUUGAGUAAACCCUCUAGCCACCAGCCUUGUCUUCUUCCUAUCAAUCUUUCCAUCAGGUAGAUACUUGAUUGUAAAUAUCCAUUUACAAGACACUGCAUUCUUCCCUUUAGGCAGCUCACUCUCAUACCAGGUUUCAUUCUUAAUCAUAGCAUCAGCCUCAUCCGCAACUGAAUCUCUCCAUUCUUUGUCUUUCAUUGCCUCAUCAUAUGUCCUUGGUAUAUAGCUUGUAUCCAAACUGAUCAUAAAUGCGUGAUGUUCAUCUGGAAACUGAGCAAAUGAACACACAGCUUGACUAGGAUGUGCCACAGCUUGAGCAUUGUAGUAGACUCUGGUGUUGGUCCAGUUAGAUGGAUCCCUCCUCACUCUUGUACUCCUUCUUAACGGUACUGUCUCCAUAAUUGGAUCACUCUCCACUCCCGGUUCCCUAGUUGCCGCUUCAUUCAGUACUUCUCCUUCUUCUCCUCUUUCAGAUUGUACUUCAAACUGAUCUCUUUCUUCAGUUUCAUCUUCAUUUCGCAUCCCUUGUUGAUCAGGACUUGCGCUCCCUUCAUUCUCAUGAGCUCCAUCAGACUGGUUUCCCCCUUCAUGAUCAGCAUGGGGUGUGUCUUCAGCUUCAUUUUGAACUGGUGCUUCUCGCCCUUUUGGAUCCUGGGUUGUAUUGAUCCCAAGACCAUCCAAGAUCAUCCUAAGGCUUGCAGCCUUGUCAGAUGGUUGAGCUAGAUCCUUCAAAUCUUCCCAGCUUCUUUCUUCAUAGUACCCCUUAGUCUCUAUAAACUUCACGUCUCUUGACACUAGGAGUCUUCUCGUUUGAGGAUCAAAGCACUUGUAUCCUCUUUGUGUAGUGGAAUACCCCACAAACAUAGCCUUGGUACUCUUAGGUUCCAGCUUGUUCCUCAUAUCUCCCGGAAUCAGUACAUAACAAAGGCUUCCAAACACUCUCAAGUGGCUUAGAGAUGGCUUGAGCUUGUUUAACACUUCAAAUGGUGAUUGAUCCUCCAAGACUCUUGUGGGAAUCCGAUUGAUCAAGUAGCAGGCUGAGAUCACAGCAUCACUCCAGAAUCUCUUUGGGACAUUUGUUUGGAACAUCAUUGAUCUUGCAACCUCCAUGAGGUGUCGAUUCUUUCUCUCAGCCACUCCAUUCUGCUGUGGAGUGUAGGGACAGCUAGUUUGAUGAAGGAUUCCGUGUGAAGCUAGAUGUUGCUUGAAGGCAUUGCUUGUAUACUCCCCACCAUUAUCUGAUCUGAAAAUCUUAAGCUUGGCAUUAUAAUGGUUAGAUACAUAAGCUUGAAAGUUUUUAAAUGCCUCAAGAACUCUAUCCUUAGUUUUAAUGAGUGUUAACCAGGUGUAUUUGGAUUUUUCAUCAAUGAAUGUUACAAAAUACUUAUAGUUUUCCCUAGACAAGCAAGGAGCAGUCCACACAUCAGAAUGCACAAGAUCAAAACAUUUCUCAUAGAUAGUAGUUGAGUUCUUAAAGACUGUCUUACAAUGUUUCCCCAAGAUACAUGCUUCACAUUCAUUAUUUUUAAACAUGACACCUGGUAACAUUAAGCUUAAGGCUCUAACAUGUGGGUGACCUAGUCUAGCAUGCCACAAUGCAUUAUUAUUCAAACUGGAAAUAGAACUAAACGAGCAACUUGAAUUGGAAACAGGAGCUAUGUCUUCUAGCAUAUAAAGUUCUCCUUUGGUAACUCCCUUGCCAAUCAUUUUCCUUGUAUCAAUAUCCUGAAACUUCACAUCAUUAGGACUAAAGAUAACAUUGCAAUGCAAAUCAGUAGUACAUCUUUUAACAGAUAAUAAAUUAGAUGUGAAUUCAGGCAUAUAAAAUGCUUUAGACUCUUUAUCAAACAGCUUUAGAUUUCCUAUUCCUUUAAUUGCAAUUCUAUCACCAUUAGCAAUCAUCACAUUUCCACAAGCAGGUUCUAUAUUUUUAAUCAAACUAGUGUCACUAAUCAUGUGAUGAGAAGCUCCUGAAUCUACAAUCAAUGGUUUUAUCACAUUACUAGCAGCAAAGGUUCUAGGCAAAUCAUUCAAGCUGUUUAGAGUUCUAGGUGCUCUAGUAGUCUCAAUACUAUGACUUAGAUAUCCAUCAGUUCUAUCUAUAUAGGAUGCGGCAAGAGAGUAUCCUAAAGGAGAGUUCAUACAGUUACCAUUCUCCUUGAGAGCUUUGAUGAGGGCAUCAAUGUCUGAUCUCCUUAUCAUCUCACCAUCAGUGCUCUUCCCCGGAGUGUGUUGGGUAGUUAAGGCCUUUCCUUCACCAUCUCGCAUUGUCUGCCCAGCUCCGGAUGUUCCAGCUUCACUUGCCCCUUCAGACAGAUGCGCCCUUGCUUCUUUCUCCUUCAGGAACUUUGCUGGCUUGAGGUGAGGGUGCAAAAUCCAGCACUGGCUCCUCUUGUGGCCCUGCUUCUUGCAAUGGUCACACUUCCCUCCAAACUUCCCUUCUUCAGUGCGGUAAGCCGCCUUGUUUGCCUGGAUAGUAUCAGCUUGGUUUGCAAGUGUGAGCUCCCCCUUGCCUCCGAACAGCCCAACCGAUCCCUCUUCUUUUUGUAUCUGAGCACACACAUCUUCAAGGGAGGGAAGCUUUGGUGACCUCAGGAUGUGCUUGAUGAGAUCAUUAAAGAUCGGAUUCAAGGUGAGUAGUAAGCCGAACACUUGGUCUUGUUCUCUCCUUUCCAUGAGCACAUCUUGGUCAGUGGUGUUGGGCCUCAGCAUCUCUAGCUCUGACCAUAAGGCUCUGAACUUUCCCAAGUGUUUAGUAAACUCCACCUCCUCUUGCACAAGUGUGUUGAUCGAUCUCUUCAACUCAAACACACGGCUUAGGUUAGAUGUGUUACCAUAGACCUUUUGGAGUGUCUCCCACAGGUCCUUUGGCGUCUCACAGUAGCUGUAUGCUUCCAAGAUCGAGGCUUCAAGUGACCCAUGUAGCACCGUAAGCACCUUCAAGUCAUCCUGAUCCCACUUCUCUUGAUCUGCCACCACCAGCUCUUGACCGCCUUCUCCUUCUCUAGCAACUGGUCUUGGAGCUCCACCAGAGAUAUGGCUCCAUAGACCCUUGCUCCCAACCGCUGCUUUCACCAAGCGAGACCACAACAGGUAGUUAGUACCACCCUUCAACGUAACCGCCACCGAGAGAGUCUUGCUCUUGCUUUCCUCCAUUCCAAAUGCUUUAAAGAACAACCGUAGAUGAAAUGAAGCUGAAGAUUAAUGAGAUUAGAAACCAGAAUAUGAGCAACCUGGCUCUGAUACCAUAUUAGAUUAAGAGAAUGAAAUGAUUUAGAGAAGAUUAAGGAACAGAAUGUGAGAUUAUGAAGAGUUUAGGUGAGAAUCAUGAUUAAGAGAGUAUGAAUGUAGAGAGAUAGACUCAGAACUGUAUGUUUAUUAUUAAUGACAAGGGUUACAAUAUAUAGUGAGAGAUCAUUAGGGUUUUCGAAAUCAUAAAGAGGAGCUAAGCAUGUGAGGUCAACAAGGUUAGGAUAAGCUUUCUUUAACUCGGCCAAUCAGCGUUCCCACAUGCUUGGAGCAUCUAGGAUCUUGGACAAAGAUGCUCUUGCCUUUCCAGCUGUGCCAGCCUGUAAAGCCGCGCCUCUCUUAUCCUCAAACGGUCUGAUUCAUUAGCCAAAGCUCCUUCUCCUUCCCUAAGUUACUCGGGUAACUUCUUGUAACCGCGGUCGAGGUUUCACUUGUCUGGAUGUGUACGGACCGUACGGCCUUGUACGGCCUUGUACGGUCAGGCCAAUGUGAACCUCUCCCAUCACACCAAUGCUUAACAUACCCUCUUCAGUCUUCACCCCUUAGUACUUCACACUUGUAUAUUCAACUCUUCUCAACACUCCCCCUCAAGCUUAGCUUUGUGAAGUCUAAGCUUGGACACUAUGAGAUCUUCCUCAUUAAAAACCUCAUCAAAGAAAACCCAUUGGGACAAAACUUUGAUGAGGGAAAAAGAGUAAAGACCUCACAGUAAGGGGAUCAGCUCUUGGCUGAGAGAUCAAUGAGUCCUAACCUGAUGUAGAUGGACUCCAUUGUCUUCAUCCUUGCGGCUUUAGUAAACACAUCAGCCAACUGAUCUUCACUUCUUGUAUAGCAUGGCAGAAUCACUCCCAAGACUAUCAUCUGCCUCACCUUGUGACAAUCUACUUCAAUAUGCUUGGUUCUCUCAUGAAACACUGAGUUAGAGGCAAUGUGGAUUGCUGCCUGGUUGUCACAAUGCAUUGUCAUAGGCGCCGCUUGCUCAAUCUCAAUGUGCUUCAAGAUCCCCUUGAUCCACACUAACUCAUUGGUAAGCUUCAGCAUUGCCCUAUACUCAGCUUCAGCACUUGAGCAGGAGACUACUUUCUGCUUCUUGCUCUUCCAAGUCACAAGGUUCCCUCCAAUGAAGGUGCAGUAACCAGUUGUAGAUCUUCUGUCUGCUCUAUCUCCAGCCCAAUCCGCAUCACAGUAGCCUACUACUUCUGUACUCCCAUUGCAUCCCAUCCAAACUCCUUGGCCUGGUGAUCCGUUGAGAUAGCUAAGCACUCUGUCCACCAUUCUCCAAUGGUGAUCCUUUGGAGCUUGCAUAUGUUGACUAACCUGAUUCACAGCAAAGCAGAUAUCAGGUCGUGUAAUUGUUAAGUAGAUUAGCUUACCCACUAGCUUCCUAUAAAGCUUAGGGUCGUGGAAUAGCUUGCUGUCUUCAAGCUCCCCCUCUCUUGGUACUUUGUACCCAUCCUCCAUUGGCAUCUUAGCAGUUUGUCCUCCAAGUUUACCUGCAUCUUUCAAAAGAUCAAGUGUAUACUUCCUUUGGGACAUGAAUAAACCUUCCUUGGAUCUACAAAUCUCAAUUCCAAGAAAGUAUUUCAUUUCCCCUUAAUCCUUGAUUUCAAAUACAGAUUUAAGGUAGUCUUUGGUCUCUUGUAUUCCAACCUCAUCACUUCCAGUAAUGAUAAUGUCAUCCACAUAGACCAAGAGACAGAUGAUACCUGAUUGUGUGACUAGAGUGAACAGCGUGUGAUCCAAUUCUGACUUCCGGAAGCCUCUUCCAUUCAAGGUUGUGCUCAGCUUAUGAUACCAUGCUCUAGGAGAUUGCUUCAAUCCAUAGAUGGCUUUCUUAAGUCUCAACACAUUUCCGGGCUUCACCAUGCUCUCUAGUCCCGGAGGAGGAUGCAUGUAUACUUCAUCUUCAAGCUCCCCUUGGAGGAAUGCAUUCUUCACAUCCAUCUGCCAUAAGCCCCAUCCAAGGUUUGUUGCAAUGGAUAAUAUGAUUCUGAUUGUGUGAAGUUUAGCCACUGGUGCGAAGGUAUCAAUAUAAUCUUCUCCAUAUGUUUGAGUAAACCCUCUAGCCACCAGCCUUGUCUUCUUCCUAUCAAUCUUUCCAUCAGGUAGAUACUUGAUUGUAAAUAUCCAUUUACAAGACACUGCAUUCUUCCCUUUAGGCAGCUCACUCUCAUACCAGGUUUCAUUCUUAAUCAUAGCAUCAGCCUCAUCCGCAACUGAAUCUCUCCAUUCUUUGUCUUUCAUUGCCUCAUCAUAUGUCCUUGGUAUAUAGCUUGUAUCCAAACUGAUCAUAAAUGCGUGAUGUUCAUCUGGAAACUGAGCAAAUGAACACACAGCUUGACUAGGAUGUGCCACAGCUUGAGCAUUGUAGUAGACUCUGGUGUUGGUCCAGUUAGAUGGAUCCCUCCUCACUCUUGUACUCCUUCUUAACGGUACUGUCUCCAUAAUUGGAUCACUCUCCACUCCCGGUUCCCUAGUUGCCGCUUCAUUCAGUACUUCUCCUUCUUCUCCUCUUUCAGAUUGUACUUCAAACUGAUCUCUUUCUUCAGUUUCAUCUUCAUUUCGCAUCCCUUGUUGAUCAGGACUUGCGCUCCCUUCAUUCUCAUGAGCUCCAUCAGACUGGUUUCCCCCUUCAUGAUCAGCAUGGGGUGUGUCUUCAGCUUCAUUUUGAACUGGUGCUUCUCGCCCUUUUGGAUCCUGGGUUGUAUUGAUCCCAAGACCAUCCAAGAUCAUCCUAAGGCUUGCAGCCUUGUCAGAUGGUUGAGCUAGAUCCUUCAAAUCUUCCCAGCUUCUUUCUUCAUAGUACCCCUUAGUCUCUAUAAACUUCACGUCUCUUGACACUAGGAGUCUUCUCGUUUGAGGAUCAAAGCACUUGUAUCCUCUUUGUGUAGUGGAAUACCCCACAAACAUAGCCUUGGUACUCUUAGGUUCCAGCUUGUUCCUCAUAUCUCCCGGAAUCAGUACAUAACAAAGGCUUCCAAACACUCUCAAGUGGCUUAGAGAUGGCUUGAGCUUGUUUAACACUUCAAAUGGUGAUUGAUCCUCCAAGACUCUUGUGGGAAUCCGAUUGAUCAAGUAGCAGGCUGAGAUCACAGCAUCACUCCAGAAUCUCUUUGGGACAUUUGUUUGGAACAUCAUUGAUCUUGCAACCUCCAUGAGGUGUCGAUUCUUUCUCUCAGCCACUCCAUUCUGCUGUGGAGUGUAGGGACAGCUAGUUUGAUGAAGGAUUCCGUGUGAAGCUAGAUGUUGCUUGAAGGCAUUGCUUGUAUACUCCCCACCAUUAUCUGAUCUGAAAAUCUUAAGCUUGGCAUUAUAAUGGUUAGAUACAUAAGCUUGAAAGUUUUUAAAUGCCUCAAGAACUCUAUCCUUAGUUUUAAUGAGUGUUAACCAGGUGUAUUUGGAUUUUUCAUCAAUGAAUGUUACAAAAUACUUAUAGUUUUCCCUAGACAAGCAAGGAGCAGUCCACACAUCAGAAUGCACAAGAUCAAAACAUUUCUCAUAGAUAGUAGUUGAGUUCUUAAAGACUGUCUUACAAUGUUUCCCCAAGAUACAUGCUUCACAUUCAUUAUUUUUAAACAUGACACCUGGUAACAUUAAGCUUAAGGCUCUAACAUGUGGGUGACCUAGUCUAGCAUGCCACAAUGCAUUAUUAUUCAAACUGGAAAUAGAACUAAACGAGCAACUUGAAUUGGAAACAGGAGCUAUGUCUUCUAGCAUAUAAAGUUCUCCUUUGGUAACUCCCUUGCCAAUCAUUUUCCUUGUAUCAAUAUCCUGAAACUUCACAUCAUUAGGACUAAAGAUAACAUUGCAAUGCAAAUCAGUAGUACAUCUUUUAACAGAUAAUAAAUUAGAUGUGAAUUCAGGCAUAUAAAAUGCUUUAGACUCUUUAUCAAACAGCUUUAGAUUUCCUAUUCCUUUAAUUGCAAUUCUAUCACCAUUAGCAAUCAUCACAUUUCCACAAGCAGGUUCUAUAUUUUUAAUCAAACUAGUGUCACUAAUCAUGUGAUGAGAAGCUCCUGAAUCUACAAUCAAUGGUUUUAUCACAUUACUAGCAGCAAAGGUUCUAGGCAAAUCAUUCAAGCUGUUUAGAGUUCUAGGUGCUCUAGUAGUCUCAAUACUAUGACUUAGAUAUCCAUCAGUUCUAUCUAUAUAGGAUGCGGCAAGAGAGUAUCCUAAAGGAGAGUUCAUACAGUUACCAUUCUCCUUGAGAGCUUUGAUGAGGGCAUCAAUGUCUGAUCUCCUUAUCAUCUCACCAUCAGUGCUCUUCCCCGGAGUGUGUUGGGUAGUUAAGGCCUUUCCUUCACCAUCUCGCAUUGUCUGCCCAGCUCCGGAUGUUCCAGCUUCACUUGCCCCUUCAGACAGAUGCGCCCUUGCUUCUUUCUCCUUCAGGAACUUUGCUGGCUUGAGGUGAGGGUGCAAAAUCCAGCACUGGCUCCUCUUGUGGCCCUGCUUCUUGCAAUGGUCACACUUCCCUCCAAACUUCCCUUCUUCAGUGCGGUAAGCCGCCUUGUUUGCCUGGAUAGUAUCAGCUUGGUUUGCAAGUGUGAGCUCCCCCUUGCCUCCGAACAGCCCAACCGAUCCCUCUUCUUUUUGUAUCUGAGCACACACAUCUUCAAGGGAGGGAAGCUUUGGUGACCUCAGGAUGUGCUUGAUGAGAUCAUUAAAGAUCGGAUUCAAGGUGAGUAGUAAGCCGAACACUUGGUCUUGUUCUCUCCUUUCCAUGAGCACAUCUUGGUCAGUGGUGUUGGGCCUCAGCAUCUCUAGCUCUGACCAUAAGGCUCUGAACUUUCCCAAGUGUUUAGUAAACUCCACCUCCUCUUGCACAAGUGUGUUGAUCGAUCUCUUCAACUCAAACACACGGCUUAGGUUAGAUGUGUUACCAUAGACCUUUUGGAGUGUCUCCCACAGGUCCUUUGGCGUCUCACAGUAGCUGUAUGCUUCCAAGAUCGAGGCUUCAAGUGACCCAUGUAGCACCGUAAGCACCUUCAAGUCAUCCUGAUCCCACUUCUCUUGAUCUGCCACCACCAGCUCUUGACCGCCUUCUCCUUCUCUAGCAACUGGUCUUGGAGCUCCACCAGAGAUAUGGCUCCAUAGACCCUUGCUCCCAACCGCUGCUUUCACCAAGCGAGACCACAACAGGUAGUUAGUACCACCCUUCAACGUAACCGCCACCGAGAGAGUCUUGCUCUUGCUUUCCUCCAUUCCAAAUGCUUUAAAGAACAACCGUAGAUGAAAUGAAGCUGAAGAUUAAUGAGAUUAGAAACCAGAAUAUGAGCAACCUGGCUCUGAUACCAUAUUAGAUUAAGAGAAUGAAAUGAUUUAGAGAAGAUUAAGGAACAGAAUGUGAGAUUAUGAAGAGUUUAGGUGAGAAUCAUGAUUAAGAGAGUAUGAAUGUAGAGAGAUAGACUCAGAACUGUAUGUUUAUUAUUAAUGACAAGGGUUACAAUAUAUAGUGAGAGAUCAUUAGGGUUUUCGAAAUCAUAAAGAGGAGCUAAGCAUGUGAGGUCAACAAGGUUAGGAUAAGCUUUCUUUAACUCGGCCAAUCAGCGUUCCCACAUGCUUGGAGCAUCUAGGAUCUUGGACAAAGAUGCUCUUGCCUUUCCAGCUGUGCCAGCCUGUAAAGCCGCGCCUCUCUUAUCCUCAAACGGUCUGAUUCAUUAGCCAAAGCUCCUUCUCCUUCCCUAAGUUACUCGGGUAACUUCUUGUAACCGCGGUCGAGGUUUCACUUGUCUGGAUGUGUACGGACCGUACGGCCUUGUACGGCCUUGUACGGUCAGGCCAAUGUGAACCUCUCCCAUCACACCAAUGCUUAACAUACCCUCUUCAGUCUUCACCCCUUAGUACUUCACACUUGUAUAUUCAACUCUUCUCAACACUCCCCCUCAAGCUUAGCUUUGUGAAGUCUAAGCUUGGACACUAUGAGAUCUUCCUCAUUAAAAACCUCAUCAAAGAAAACCCAUUGGGACAAAACUUUGAUGAGGGAAAAAGAGUAAAGACCUCACAGUAAGGGGAUCAGCUCUUGGCUGAGAGAUCAAUGAGUCCUAACCUGAUGUAGAUGGACUCCAUUGUCUUCAUCCUUGCGGCUUUAGUAAACACAUCAGCCAACUGAUCUUCACUUCUUGUAUAGCAUGGCAGAAUCACUCCCAAGACUAUCAUCUGCCUCACCUUGUGACAAUCUACUUCAAUAUGCUUGGUUCUCUCAUGAAACACUGAGUUAGAGGCAAUGUGGAUUGCUGCCUGGUUGUCACAAUGCAUUGUCAUAGGCGCCGCUUGCUCAAUCUCAAUGUGCUUCAAGAUCCCCUUGAUCCACACUAACUCAUUGGUAAGCUUCAGCAUUGCCCUAUACUCAGCUUCAGCACUUGAGCAGGAGACUACUUUCUGCUUCUUGCUCUUCCAAGUCACAAGGUUCCCUCCAAUGAAGGUGCAGUAACCAGUUGUAGAUCUUCUGUCUGCUCUAUCUCCAGCCCAAUCCGCAUCACAGUAGCCUACUACUUCUGUACUCCCAUUGCAUCCCAUCCAAACUCCUUGGCCUGGUGAUCCGUUGAGAUAGCUAAGCACUCUGUCCACCAUUCUCCAAUGGUGAUCCUUUGGAGCUUGCAUAUGUUGACUAACCUGAUUCACAGCAAAGCAGAUAUCAGGUCGUGUAAUUGUUAAGUAGAUUAGCUUACCCACUAGCUUCCUAUAAAGCUUAGGGUCGUGGAAUAGCUUGCUGUCUUCAAGCUCCCCCUCUCUUGGUACUUUGUACCCAUCCUCCAUUGGCAUCUUAGCAGUUUGUCCUCCAAGUUUACCUGCAUCUUUCAAAAGAUCAAGUGUAUACUUCCUUUGGGACAUGAAUAAACCUUCCUUGGAUCUACAAAUCUCAAUUCCAAGAAAGUAUUUCAUUUCCCCUUAAUCCUUGAUUUCAAAUACAGAUUUAAGGUAGUCUUUGGUCUCUUGUAUUCCAACCUCAUCACUUCCAGUAAUGAUAAUGUCAUCCACAUAGACCAAGAGACAGAUGAUACCUGAUUGUGUGACUAGAGUGAACAGCGUGUGAUCCAAUUCUGACUUCCGGAAGCCUCUUCCAUUCAAGGUUGUGCUCAGCUUAUGAUACCAUGCUCUAGGAGAUUGCUUCAAUCCAUAGAUGGCUUUCUUAAGUCUCAACACAUUUCCGGGCUUCACCAUGCUCUCUAGUCCCGGAGGAGGAUGCAUGUAUACUUCAUCUUCAAGCUCCCCUUGGAGGAAUGCAUUCUUCACAUCCAUCUGCCAUAAGCCCCAUCCAAGGUUUGUUGCAAUGGAUAAUAUGAUUCUGAUUGUGUGAAGUUUAGCCACUGGUGCGAAGGUAUCAAUAUAAUCUUCUCCAUAUGUUUGAGUAAACCCUCUAGCCACCAGCCUUGUCUUCUUCCUAUCAAUCUUUCCAUCAGGUAGAUACUUGAUUGUAAAUAUCCAUUUACAAGACACUGCAUUCUUCCCUUUAGGCAGCUCACUCUCAUACCAGGUUUCAUUCUUAAUCAUAGCAUCAGCCUCAUCCGCAACUGAAUCUCUCCAUUCUUUGUCUUUCAUUGCCUCAUCAUAUGUCCUUGGUAUAUAGCUUGUAUCCAAACUGAUCAUAAAUGCGUGAUGUUCAUCUGGAAACUGAGCAAAUGAACACACAGCUUGACUAGGAUGUGCCACAGCUUGAGCAUUGUAGUAGACUCUGGUGUUGGUCCAGUUAGAUGGAUCCCUCCUCACUCUUGUACUCCUUCUUAACGGUACUGUCUCCAUAAUUGGAUCACUCUCCACUCCCGGUUCCCUAGUUGCCGCUUCAUUCAGUACUUCUCCUUCUUCUCCUCUUUCAGAUUGUACUUCAAACUGAUCUCUUUCUUCAGUUUCAUCUUCAUUUCGCAUCCCUUGUUGAUCAGGACUUGCGCUCCCUUCAUUCUCAUGAGCUCCAUCAGACUGGUUUCCCCCUUCAUGAUCAGCAUGGGGUGUGUCUUCAGCUUCAUUUUGAACUGGUGCUUCUCGCCCUUUUGGAUCCUGGGUUGUAUUGAUCCCAAGACCAUCCAAGAUCAUCCUAAGGCUUGCAGCCUUGUCAGAUGGUUGAGCUAGAUCCUUCAAAUCUUCCCAGCUUCUUUCUUCAUAGUACCCCUUAGUCUCUAUAAACUUCACGUCUCUUGACACUAGGAGUCUUCUCGUUUGAGGAUCAAAGCACUUGUAUCCUCUUUGUGUAGUGGAAUACCCCACAAACAUAGCCUUGGUACUCUUAGGUUCCAGCUUGUUCCUCAUAUCUCCCGGAAUCAGUACAUAACAAAGGCUUCCAAACACUCUCAAGUGGCUUAGAGAUGGCUUGAGCUUGUUUAACACUUCAAAUGGUGAUUGAUCCUCCAAGACUCUUGUGGGAAUCCGAUUGAUCAAGUAGCAGGCUGAGAUCACAGCAUCACUCCAGAAUCUCUUUGGGACAUUUGUUUGGAACAUCAUUGAUCUUGCAACCUCCAUGAGGUGUCGAUUCUUUCUCUCAGCCACUCCAUUCUGCUGUGGAGUGUAGGGACAGCUAGUUUGAUGAAGGAUUCCGUGUGAAGCUAGAUGUUGCUUGAAGGCAUUGCUUGUAUACUCCCCACCAUUAUCUGAUCUGAAAAUCUUAAGCUUGGCAUUAUAAUGGUUAGAUACAUAAGCUUGAAAGUUUUUAAAUGCCUCAAGAACUCUAUCCUUAGUUUUAAUGAGUGUUAACCAGGUGUAUUUGGAUUUUUCAUCAAUGAAUGUUACAAAAUACUUAUAGUUUUCCCUAGACAAGCAAGGAGCAGUCCACACAUCAGAAUGCACAAGAUCAAAACAUUUCUCAUAGAUAGUAGUUGAGUUCUUAAAGACUGUCUUACAAUGUUUCCCCAAGAUACAUGCUUCACAUUCAUUAUUUUUAAACAUGACACCUGGUAACAUUAAGCUUAAGGCUCUAACAUGUGGGUGACCUAGUCUAGCAUGCCACAAUGCAUUAUUAUUCAAACUGGAAAUAGAACUAAACGAGCAACUUGAAUUGGAAACAGGAGCUAUGUCUUCUAGCAUAUAAAGUUCUCCUUUGGUAACUCCCUUGCCAAUCAUUUUCCUUGUAUCAAUAUCCUGAAACUUCACAUCAUUAGGACUAAAGAUAACAUUGCAAUGCAAAUCAGUAGUACAUCUUUUAACAGAUAAUAAAUUAGAUGUGAAUUCAGGCAUAUAAAAUGCUUUAGACUCUUUAUCAAACAGCUUUAGAUUUCCUAUUCCUUUAAUUGCAAUUCUAUCACCAUUAGCAAUCAUCACAUUUCCACAAGCAGGUUCUAUAUUUUUAAUCAAACUAGUGUCACUAAUCAUGUGAUGAGAAGCUCCUGAAUCUACAAUCAAUGGUUUUAUCACAUUACUAGCAGCAAAGGUUCUAGGCAAAUCAUUCAAGCUGUUUAGAGUUCUAGGUGCUCUAGUAGUCUCAAUACUAUGACUUAGAUAUCCAUCAGUUCUAUCUAUAUAGGAUGCGGCAAGAGAGUAUCCUAAAGGAGAGUUCAUACAGUUACCAUUCUCCUUGAGAGCUUUGAUGAGGGCAUCAAUGUCUGAUCUCCUUAUCAUCUCACCAUCAGUGCUCUUCCCCGGAGUGUGUUGGGUAGUUAAGGCCUUUCCUUCACCAUCUCGCAUUGUCUGCCCAGCUCCGGAUGUUCCAGCUUCACUUGCCCCUUCAGACAGAUGCGCCCUUGCUUCUUUCUCCUUCAGGAACUUUGCUGGCUUGAGGUGAGGGUGCAGAAUCCAGCACUGGCUCCUCUUGUGGCCCUGCUUCUUGCAAUGGUCACACUUCCCUCCAAACUUCCCUUCUUCAGUGCGGUAAGCCGCCUUGUUUGCCUGGAUAGUAUCAGCUUGGUUUGCAAGUGUGAGCUCCCCCUUACCUCCGAACAGCCCAACCGAUCCCUCUUCUUUUUGUAUCUGAGCACACACAUCUUCAAGGGAGGGAAGCUUUGGUGACCUCAGAAUGUGCUUGAUGAGAUCAUUAAAGAUCGGAUUCAAGGUGAGUAGUAAGCCGAACACUUGGUCUUGUUCUCUCCUUUCCAUGAGCACAUCUUGGUCAGUGGUGUUGGGCCUCAGCAUCUCUAGCUCUGACCACAAGGCUCUGAACUUUCCCAAGUGUCUAGUAAACUCCACCUCCUCUUGCACAAGUGUGUUGAUCGAUCUCUUCAACUCAAACACACGGCUUAGGUUAGAUGUGUUACCAUAGACCUUUUGGAGUGUCUCCCACAGGUCCUUUGGCGUCUCACAGUAGCUGUAUGCUUCCAAGAUCGAGGCUUCAAGUGACCCAUGUAGCACCGUAAGCACCUUCAAGUCAUCCUGAUCCCACUUCUCUUGAUCUGCCACCACCAGCUCUUGACCGCCUUCUCCUUCUCUAGCAACUGGUCUUGGAGCUCCACCAGAGAUAUGGCUCCAUAGACCCUUGCUCCCAACCGCUGCUUUCACCAAGCGAGACCACAACAGGUAGUUAGUACCACCCUUCAACGUAACCGCCACCGAGAGAGUCUUGCUCUUGCUUUCCUCCAUUCCAAAUGCUUUAAAGAACAACCGUAGAUGAAAUGAAGCUGAAGAUUAAUGAGAUUAGAAACCAGAAUAUGAGCAACCUGGCUCUGAUACCAUAUUAGAUUAAGAGAAUGAAAUGAUUUAGAGAAGAUUAAGGAACAGAAUGUGAGAUUAUGAAGAGUUUAGGUGAGAAUCAUGAUUAAGAGAGUAUGAAUGUAGAGAGAUAGACUCAGAACUAUAUGUUUAUUAUUAAUGACAAGAGUUACAAUAUAUAGUGAGAGAUCAUUAGGGUUUUCGAAAUCAUAAAGAGGAGCUAAGCAUGUGAGGUCAACAAGGUUAGGAUAAGCUUUCUUUAACUCGGCCAAUCAGCGUUCUCACAUGCUUGGAGCAUCUAGGAUCUUGGACAAAGAUGCUCUUGCCUUUCCAGCUGUGCCAGCCUGUAAAGCCGCGCCUCUCUUAUCCUCAAACGGUCUGAUUCAUUAGCCAAAGCUCCUUCUCCUUCCCUAAGUUACUCGGGUAACUUUCUUGUAACCGCGGUCGAGGUUUCACUUGUCUGGAUGUGUACGGACCGUACGGCCUUGUACGGCCUUGUACGGUCAGGCCAAUGUGAACCUCUCCCAUCACACCAAUGCUUAACAUACCCUCUUCAGUCUUCACCCCUUAGUACUUCACACUUGUAUAUUCAACUCUUCUCAACAUUAGGUGCUUCCAGUUUCCCAGUUUGGGAAUAGCACAGCUUCUUCGUCGUUCCUCCCCCUCAAGCUUAGCUUUGUGAAGUCUAAGCUUGGACACUAUGAGAUCUUCCUCAUUAAAAACCUCAUCAAAGAAAACCCAUUGGGACAAAACUUUGAUGAGGGAAAAAGAGUAAAGACCUCACAGGAAGGGGAUCAGCUCUUGGCUGAGAGAUCAAUGAGUCCUAACCUGAUGUAGAUGGACUCCAUUGUCUUCAUCCUUGCGGCUUUAGUAAACACAUCAGCCAACUGAUCUUCACUUCUUGUAUAGCAUGGCAGAAUCACUCCCAAGACUAUCAUCUGCCUCACCUUGUGACAAUCCACUUCAAUAUGCUUGGUUCUCUCAUGAAACACUGAGUUAGAGGCAAUGUGGAUUGCAGCCUGGUUGUCACAAUGCAUUGUCAUAGGCGCCGCUUGCUCAAUCUCAAUGUGCUUCAAGAUCCCCUUGAUCCACACUAACUCAUUGGUAAGCUUCAGCAUUGCCCUAUACUCAGCUUCAGCACUUGAGCAGGAGACUACUUUCUGCUUCUUGCUCUUCCAAGUCACAAGGUUCCCUCCAAUGAAGGUGCAGUAACCGGUUGUAGAUCUUCUGUCUGCUCUAUCUCCAGCCCAAUCCGCAUCACAGUAGCCUACUACUUCUGUACUCCCAUUGCAUCCCAUCCAAACUCCUUGGCCUGGUGAUCCGUUGAGAUAGCUAAGCACUCUGUCCACCAUUCUCCAAUGGUGAUCCUUUGGAGCUUGCAUAUGUUGACUAACCUGAUUCACAGCAAAGCAGAUAUCAGGUCGUGUAAUUGUUAAGUAGAUUAGCUUACCCACUAGCUUCCUAUAAAGCUUAGGGUCGUGGAAUAGCUUGCUGUCUUCAAGCUCCCCCUCUCUUGGUACUUUGUACCCAUCCUCCAUUGGCAUCUUAGCAGUUUGUCCUCCAAGUUUACCUGCAUCUUUCAAAAGAUCAAGUGUAUACUUCCUUUGGGACAUGAAUAAACCUUCCUUGGAUCUACAAAUCUCAAUUCCAAGAAAGUAUUUCAUUUCCCCUAAAUCCUUGAUUUCAAAUACAGAUUUAAGGUAGUCUUUGGUCUCUUGUAUUCCAACCUUAUCACUUCCAGUAAUGAUAAUGUCAUCCACAUAGACCAAGAGACAGAUGAUACCUGAUUGUGUGACUAGAGUGAACAGCGUGUGAUCCAAUUCUGACUUCCGGAAGCCUCUUCCAUUCAAGGUUGUGCUCAGCUUAUGAUACCAUGCUCUAGGAGAUUGCUUCAAUCCAUAGAUGGCUUUCUUAAGUCUCAACACAUUUCCGGGCUUCACCAUGCUCUCUAGUCCCGGAGGAGGAUGCAUGUAUACUUCAUCUUCAAGCUCCCCUUGGAGGAAUGCAUUCUUCACAUCCAUCUGCCAUAAGCCCCAUCCAAGGUUUGUUGCAAUGGAUAAUAUGAUUCUGAUUGUGUGAAGUUUAGCCACUGGUGCAAAGGUAUCAAUAUAAUCUUCUCCAUAUGUUUGAGUAAACCCUCUAGCCACCAGCCUUGUCUUCUUCCUAUCAAUCUUUCCAUCAGGUAGAUACUUGAUUGUAAAUAUCCAUUUACAAGACACUGCCUUCUUCCCUUUAGGCAGCUCACUCUCAUACCAGGUUUCAUUCUUAAUCAUAGCAUCAGCCUCAUCCGCAACUGAAUCUCUCCAUUCUUUGUCUUUCAUUGCCUCAUCAUAUGUCCUUGGUAUAUAGCUUGUAUCCAAACUGAUCAUAAAUGCGUGAUGUUCAUCUGGAAACUGAGCAAAUGAACACACAGCUUGACUAGGAUGUGCCACAGCUUGAGCAUUGUAGUAGACUCUGGUGUUGGUCCAGUUAGAUGGAUCCCUCCUCACUCUUGUACUCCUUCUUAACGGUACUGUCUCCAUAAUUGGAUCACUCUCCACUCCCGGUUCCCUAGUUGCCGCUUCAUUCAGUACUUCUCCUUCUUCUCCUCUUUCAGAUUGUACUUCAAACUGUGAUCUCUUUCUUCAGUUUCAUCUUGAUUUUGCAUCCCUUGUUGAUCAGGACUUGCGCUCCCUUCAUUCUCAUGAGCUCCAUCAGACUGGUUUCCCCCUUCAUGAUCAGCAUGGGGUGUGUCUUCAGCUUCAUUUUGAACUGGUGCUUCUCGCCCUUUUGGAUCCUGGGUUGUAUUGAUCCCAAGACCAUCCAAGAUCAUCCUAAGGCUUGCAGCCUUGUCAGAUGGUUGAGCUAGAUCCUUCAAAUCUUCCCAGCUUCUUUCUUCAUAGUACCCCUUAGUCUCUAUAAACUUCACGUCUCUUGACACUAGGAGUCUUCUCGUUUGAGGAUCAAAGCACUUAUCCUCUUUGUGUAGUGGAAUACCCCACAAACAUAGCCUUAGUAUGACUUUUAGGAAUAUAAAGAUUAAUCUGAGUUUAGAAUAGGAUUAAGGAAGAGAAUAAGAGAUUUACGAAACUGAUUAGAGACUAAUGGAGAAUCAUGAUGAAAUGAGUAAAGAGAAAGAUUGUUUAGAACUGUCUAAUCUUUAUUAAUGAUCUUGAGUUACAAUAUAUAGUAAGGAGAGCUUAGGGUUUCGAUCACAAAAGGAUAAGGAAAGCAUGUGAAGUCAAAAGGAGGAGGAGCCUAUAUUUGAAUCCGGCCAAUGAGCUUCUCCAAGUGUGUGAGGCAUCUAGCAUCUUCCCAUAGAUGCUGUUUACUUUCCAGUCCAUGCCAGACUGUCAGUCCGCGCCUAAUCCCUUCUUCCUCCGCGGUCUUAUCCACUCCAAAGCUUAUCCUCCUCUCCACUAAGUUACCUUGGUAACUUAUCUUUACCUUGGUGAGUUUGGUUGAUGUCCUAUGUACGGAUGGUACGGCCUGUACGGCCUUGUACGGAUCACUCAACCCAAACUCAUCUCUUCUUUCAUACUUCAUCUCUUCCUCUAAUGCCUUAACUCCCUUAGCUCCUCUUCUCAUAUACUUAACUCUGAUCAACACUCCCCCUCAAGCUUAGCUUUGUGAAAGUCUAAGCUUGGACAGCUAUGAGAUCUUCCUCAUUAAAAACCUUACCAAGGAAAACCCAUUGGGAUAAAACCUUGAUAAGGGAAAAAGAGUAAAGACCUCACAGCCGAAGGGGAUCAGCUCCUUCUCUUCCCAAGAUCAAUGAGGCCCAACCUGAUGUGAAUGGACUCCAUUGUCUUCUGUCUUGCAGCCUUGGUGAACACAUCAGCCAACUGAUCUUCACUCCUUGUGUAGCAUGGCAAGAUGACUCCUAAGAUGAUCAUCUGCCUCACCUUGUGGCAAUCCACUUCAAUGUGCUUGGUUCUCUCAUGGAACACCGAGUUGGAGGCAAUGUGGAUGGCAGCUUGGUUAUCACAAUGCAUUGUCAUUGGCGUGGCUUGAUCAAUCUCCAAAUGCUUCAAGAUGCCCUUGAUCCACACCAGCUCGUUGGUCAGCUUCAGCAUAGCUCUAUACUCAGCUUCUGCACUUGAGCAAGACACCACCUUCUGCUUCUUACUCUUCCAAGUAACCAAGUUGCCUCCAAUGAAUGUGCAAUAGCCUGUGGUUGAUCUCCUAUCUGCUCUAUCACCAGCCCAAUCCGCAUCACAGUAUCCAACCACUUCAGUGCUCCCAUUGCAACCCAUCCAUACUCCUUGAUCAGGUGAGCCGUUGAGAUACAUCAAGAUCCUCUCCACCAUGCGCCAAUGAUGUUCCUUAGGCACUUGCAUGUGUUGACUCACCUGAUUCACAGCAAAGCAAAUGUCAGGUCUAGUUAUGGUAAGGUAGAUCAAUUUACCAACUAGCUUUCUAUAGAGUUUAGGAUCCUGAUAAGGUUUGCUGUCUUCAAUCUCCCCCUCUCGUGGGACUUUGUAGCCAUCCUCCAUAGGCAUCCUUGCUGUCUUGCCUCCAUAAGCACCUGCACCUUUCAAAAGAUCAAGUGUAUACUUCCUUUGGGACAUGAACAAACCUUCCUUGGAUCUACAUAUCUCAAUUCCAAGAAAGUAUUUCAUUUCUCCCAAGUCUUUAAUCUCAAACAUGGAUUUAAGGAACUCCUUGGUUGCUAUGAUACCUUCCUUAUCACUUCCUGUGAUAAUGAUAUCAUCAACAUACACAAGGAGUGCAAUCAUACCUGAGGGAGUGGUGAGUGUGAAGAGGGUGUGGUCUAGUUCAGACUUCUUGAAGCCUCGGCCAUUCAGAGUAGUACUCAGCUUGUUGUACCAAGCUCUUGGUGAUUGCUUCAGUCCAUAGAUAGCUUUCUUCAGUCUCAACACAUUCCCUCUCUUCACUAAGUGUUCCAAGCCUGGAGGUGGAUGCAUAUACACUUCAUCCUCCAGCUCUCCUUGUAGGAAUGCAUUCUUCACAUCCAUUUGCCAUAAGCCCCAUCCAAGGUUCACAGCUAAGCUUAAGACAAUCCGAAUUGUGUGUAGUUUAGCUACUGGUGCAAAGGUCUCAAUGUAAUCUUCUCCAUAAGUUUGAGUAAAGCCUCUUGCAACCAGUCUUGACUUCUUCCUCUCCACCUUUCCAUCAGCUUUAUACUUGAUUGUGAAGAUCCAUCUACUAGUCACAGCCUUCUUCCCUUUUGGUAACUCACUCUCAUACCAUGUAUCAUUCUUGAUCAUAGCUCCUGCCUCAGCUCCAACUGAUUCCUUCCAUUCUUUAUCCAUCAUUGCCUCUUCAUAGCUUCUUGGUAUGUAGUUCUCAUCCAAGUUUACCAUAAAAGCACAAUGUUCUUCAGGGUAUUGAGCAAAGGAACACACAGCUUGAGUAGGAUGCUCCACAGCUUGGGCAUUGUAGUACACUCGCGUGUUUACCCAACUAGAAGGAUCCUUUCUCAGCCUUGUGCUUCUCCUCAAUGCUGGUUGGUUCUGAACCUGCUCCUCUUGGACACUCGGUUCUGGUGCUUCAGCCUGAGCUUCUCCUUCUCCUUGGCUUUGAUCACCUUGAUUGUGAGAGCCUGAAACACUCUCUUCUUCUUCUUCACUCAAGCCGGUUCCAUCCUGACCAUCUUCUUGAGUUUCAGAGUCCCUUCCCCCCUCACGAUCAAGGUGAGGUGACUGAUUGGCUUCAACAGGGGCAGGAGAACUCUCAUGUUGGUUCCUCCUCCCCACAUUUGGAUCCUGGUUCAUCUUGAUACCUAGACCUUCCAAAAUCAGUCUUAACGCGCCUGCCUUGUCUGAUGUUAAAUCCUUUAACUCCUCUUGAUUCUUUUCUUCAUAGUAUCCUCUUGCUUCUAUGAACUUCACAUCUCUAGAGAUUAGGACUCUUCUAGUUGCUGGAUCAUAGCACUUGUAUCCCUUUUGUGUUGUUGAGUAGCCAAUGAACAUAGCCUUAGUGCUCCUUGCAUCUAACUUGUUUCUCAACUCUCCUGGUACCAACACAAAGCAUAAACAUCCAAAUACUCUCAAGUAAUCCACUGAUGGCUUGUGCUUGUUCAGAACUUCAAAUGGUGCUUGAUCCUUCAACACCUUUGUGGGAAUCCUGUUGAUCAAAUAACAAGCAGUAGCCACAGCAUCACUCCAAAACCUCUUUGGAACGUUUGCUUGGAACAUCAGGGACCUAGCAACCUCCAUCAGGUGUCGGUUCUUCCUCUCAGCUACCCCAUUCUGUUGUGGAGUAUAAGGACAGCUUGUUUGAUGCAAGAUCCCAUGAUGCUCUAGAUGACUUUUGAACGCAUAGCUUGUGUACUCCCCUCCAUUAUCUGAUCUAAGAAUUUUAAUCUUGGCAUUAUAAUGGUUAGUCACAUAAGCUUGAAAGUUCUUAAAUGCAUCUAUCACUCUAUCUUUUGAUGGGAUUAAAGUUAACCAGGUGUAUUUGGAUUUUUCAUCAAUGAAUGUGACAAAGUAUUUAUGAUUGUCUCUAGAUAUGCAAGGUGCAGUCCAAACAUCAGAAUGAAUAAGAUCAAAGCACUUAUCAUAAACACUAGUAGAGUUUGGAAACACAGUUUUACAAUGCUUGCCUAAAAUGCAAGCUUCACAAUCCUUAUUCUCAAAUAAAACACCUGGUAACAUCAAGUUCAAAGCUCUACCAUGAGGGUGUCCUAAUCUAGCAUGCCACAAAGCAUUUUUAUUUAAACUAGAAGCAGUAGUAAACGAGCAAUUGUAAUUGGAAACAGGAUCAAGUUCUUCAAGCAAAUACAACUCUCCUUUAGUGAUUCCUUUUCCAAUCAAGUGGCUGCUCUCAAUAUCCUGAAACUUUACAUCAUUAGGACUGAAUAUAACAUUGCAAUUCAAAUCAGUUGUGCAUUUCUUAACAGAUAGCAAGUUAGAUGUAAAUUCAGGCAUGUAGAAAGCUCUAGUGUUCUUAUCAAACAAUUUCAAGUUCCCUAUUCCUCUAAUAGGGAUCUUGUCCCCAUUUGCAAUCAUAACAUGUCCACUAGUUGGUUCUAUAUCCUUAAUCAGGUUUGUAUCACUAAUCAUGUGAUGAGAUGCACCAGAAUCAACAAUUAGUGGCUUAGUUAUACUGCUAGCAUUAUGACAAAGGUUCAAAGGUGAUCUAAAUGCAUUUAGUUCAUGAUUCAUCCUAGCAUUUCUAGCAAAGGUGUACUCAUGUCUAGCCUGUUCAUUGUUUUUAACUCUAUCCAUCCUAGCAAUAUCAGCAACACAAUGAGAUGUUUCUAUAGUCUUAGCUAUCAUGGAUGCACCAAAGGAGUACCCAUAAGUGUUACCAUUCUCCUUGAGCAUUUUGAUGAGGGCAUCCAUCUCGGAUCUCCUGAUGAAGUCCUGAUCAUUGCCACGGAUGUUAGGAGCUCCUGAGUAUGUCACCAGUGCCUUGCCAUCACCUUCACGUCCCUCUCCUUCAGCUCCACGGCUAGAUGAUCCGGCUCCACUCGUUCCCUCUGAAGCAUGAGCUCUUGCCUCCCUUUCCUUCAUGAACUUCGCCGGCUUCAGAUGAGGAUGCAGUAUCCAGCACUGGUUCUUCUUGUGUCCAUGCUUCUUGCAGUGAUCACAAUUGCCAUUGAACUUCCUGUCUUCAUACUUGCCGUGUGCUGCUCUGUUGGCUUGUGGUAUCUCCUCAUGAUCAGUUUGCGCAGCAUUGGCUAGGGACAAGUCUCCUUUACCACCAAACAAGCCAAUGGAGCCUUGCUCCUUUUGUAUCUGAGCACACGCAUCCUCCAGGUCCGGCAGCUUCUCAGCCCUCAACAUAUGCUGAAUCAACCCACUGUAGCUUGGAUUCAAUGUCAGCAACAACCCAAAGACCUUGUCUUGCUCUCUUCUUUCAUUCAGCAGCUCCGGAUCAGUGGUGCUAGGCCUCAGCAUCUCCAGCUCUGACCAGAGUGUCCGGAACCUCCCCAAAUGCUUAGUGAACUCCAUGUCCUCCUGAGUUAGAUCAUUCAAAGCUUUCUUCACUUCAAAGACCCGGCUGAGGUUAGAGGUGUUUCCAUACACCUUCUUCAACGUUUCCCACAGCUCCUUGGCUGUCUCACAGUAGCUGUAAGCAUCAAGAAUGGCUGGCUCCAAUGAGCUAUGAAGAGCAGACAUCACCAUCAUGUCCUCUUGUUGCCACUUCUCAGCUUCAGCUUCCGAGACACUCUCCUUGUCUCCUCCUUGAGUAAUGAGUUUUGGAGCCUCACCAGAUGUGAUGUGCUUCCAUAAACCCUUACUUCCCACAGCAGUCUUCACCAUCCUAGACCAUACUAGGUAGUUACUUCCCUUGAAAGUCACAGCAACCUUCAUCUUGGAACCACUCUCCAUCUUAAGCGGCUUCACUUAAAUAACUUGUAAAAGACUUGAUCUUGAGACUCAGAACUACACCACCAGCUCAAACCCUUCCGUGUCUUGUCUUUACUCUUCAAGGAACCCUCAAACAGCUAGAUAAGACUCCCGGAAUGAAGAUGUAGCUCUCGGGAUGCAGCUUCUUUCAAGAACACUCACACCACUCUCACUUGAUCUCUCAAAGUUUCAAGUUUGAAUCUUCAAGAGAAAAACGCCAAGAACUCAGAUUGAACUCAACCUGGCUCUGAUACCAUAUCACUUUUGAGUAAUGUAAACUAUAAUCUGAGUUUAGAUAAGAAUAGAGAAGAGAUUAGAGAGAUUAAAGAGAUUAAGAGACUAAAUGAGAAUCAUUGUGAAAAGUAUAGAGAGAUUGAUUUGUUUAGAACUGUCUAAUCUUAUUAUGAGAUGGGAUUACAAUAUUUAUAGGAGAUACAUUAGGGUUUACAAGUAAAGGGAAAUGGCACUAGUCAUAAGCAUGUGAAGUCAAGGGAAGAAGGGAGCGUCUCUUUUGAAUUCAACGGAUGGCAAAGCUCACAUGCUUUUGCUUUGCCUUUACAGCCUGUCCAAAGACUGGAUGGAUAAGGCUCGUCCCGCCCUCAUCUCUAAACGGUCUGAUCAGCUUAAACCUUCCGUGUACUCUAGAGGCUUCACUCGUCCAUCUCCUUCUUCCUUCAUGUUUCCUAAGCUGUACGGUCAUGCCCUAUCCGUACAUGCUCUAUCCGUACAUGCCCUAUCCGUACAUAGGCCGUACACUCUCCCAUUACUUGCACAACUCUACUUCUCCUUCUCAUAAUGGCUUCCUCAUCUCAACACACUUUAUGUAUCCAAAUCAUGCUUAUCACAAAGUGAUUCAUCCUGGUUUGAUUGGAACGACGAAGAAGCUGUGC